AAAAAAUGUUUAUAUCAAUUAGCAUGGUCUGUAUUACUUGUUCCCAACUUGUAUUCUGAGUUUUCAGUUGGUUGUUUUCGGCGUUCCUCCUUUUUGCUAGAAAAUUUUGAGCGUGUCAUGUUUGGACCUUUUAUAGCUUCCUUUGUACCGUCUUUUGUCAUUAUUAUUUCACACCUGCAGAUUUAAGCAGAUCAAACAAUUUGUUGAGGUGUGAAUGGAGGUUAAAUUUCAGAAUAACAAAUUUUAGCUAUUUCUUUUCUGCGCUCGGUUUUUAGAUGAUGGAUUUUUUUAAGGUUUUGGGAAGAAUAAUUGAUCAUUGAUUAUUCUUAAUAUGAUUGCGAAAGAGUAGGUAGCCUGAUUGGGUAAUUUUUGGAUACCUCCCCUGAGGUUUGGUCUUGCUACACUUAGAUAGAAUGUAUGCAUAUAUUGACAUAUAGCACCCCCAGACGUGUAUAAGCGUUGGGGAGCCGUUUGGUAAACGGGGAUAAUUUUGUAAUUGCAAAAGUUUAUAAUUUUUAAAUCUUAAAAAAGUUAAUUGACAGUGAUUGAUUAAACAAAUCAAUGUGUAUUCAGAAUGCACAAUUAUACAAAGCUUGGAAUCGAGUGAAACAAAUGAUACCCCACCUUCACUUUAUCAAACCCAUCUUCACUUUACCAUUCAGCUUCAGUCCAAAACAAAUAAUGCCCACUCAUCGAAGACGUCACUCCUACCAACAACUCCAUCAUCGCCGCCGUCGAAUCCGCCGAUUUGAAGAACACCACCAGUUAGAACAUGAACAAGGCCAAUACUAAUAACAAGUGCGAAGGAGUGGUGGCUGAGAGCGGUGUCGACAGAGCUGUGAAUUGGCAGAAUGCGAGGUGCGAGGCGGAGAUAUUGUUCGCAUCUGUUGUACGAGCAGCUACUCUCAGCACACGUGGCUUGCUUGAGGGUCGACACGUCGGUGGAUCAGCUGCCGAGGAUUGAUGCUCAGCUUGCUUAGUCACAGCACGACGUCUCUAAGUACAUCGCUUUAGGUGCCGGUCAAGGCUGGGUUACUGAUGACCAAGAGCUCCACUAUGUAUUCUACUUUCAUAAAGUUAUUAUUGAUUUUAAAUUUAAUUUCUUUUCCAUUUUGUUUGCUUGCUUGCUUGCUUUCUUGUCUUAUUAGAAACUUGAAUUUUAAAUUCACAGAGGAAUUUAUUGCGCUUGCUAUUGACUAAUUCGAGGCAUUGUACAUAUUAAAAAAAAUGUUUUUUUCCCCCUCAAUUUGGGUGAUUUUUGGGUAUUACUGGUAUGGUUGAUUACUUGAGGAUGAGUUAAUUGGUUAUGAUUAUAAAGUUUUGAAUCUUUGAGUACAAAGUUAAAUUGUAAAUUUGAAGCAGAAUGAGCAAGGGUUUUGUUAGGAGACGGUAAAAUUUUGAAAUGGACAGCCGGAUUCUAAGAUGUGAGAAGUAAUUCUAGUGGAAAUACAAAUAAUUUGGCGGAAGCUACAAAGUCAGAGAACAUUUCCUUUUAUUGCAAAUGAUAAGAUACUUGAUUGAAAGUGAUUUGGUCUAUUCUCAGUUAAAUGAAGGGUAUUAUUAUAAUUUCACUGACAAACCAAACAGCUUUGUAACGCUUAUACGUCUAGGGGUGCUAUAUGUCAAUAUAUGCAUACAUUCUAUCUAAGUGUAGCAAGGCCAAACCUCAGGGGAGGUGUCCAAAAAUUAUCCUAGCCUGAUUACAAGUUCUUUCUGAGAUGACUAAGAUUUUGAACAGCUCUUUUUUGUAAUCUCUCUACCAUUGCCUUUGACAAUAUUUAUAAUAAGCCGAAAAUUCCUCUGAUGGCACUUGAAUUUGGUGUUGGUUGUGGCACAUUUGGGCUUAAGAGCCCUAGAAUUAACUCGAUAUACUGGAAACAACAUUAUAUCAGUUACAAAACCAGAGGGGUGAAAUUUGGUUAGAGUUUUCGUAAAUUUUAAACCGAAAAUUAGAAAUUCGUUAGAACUGUAAUGUCAGUAAAAAGCUGGCAUGAUCAUUGAUCUAUCUCGUCGUACUGAUAAUUUUGCCGGCUAAUUACUUGCAUAAAUAUAAAUUAUUAUUUAAUGAGAGAAAUAUUAUAGUCAAAAGAGUCGCACUAUUAAAUUCCAGCCCUAUUACUGUAAAAUAAUAAUUGUUGGUUAAAAAAAAAAACUAAAUUCUUGUUAAAAAUCAUCGCCAAAUUCUUGUUAAGAGUUUAAGACGCUUUUUUUUUAAUGAAUAUUUAUCACCAAAUUUUUUGAUUUAUUAUCUCGUUAUUGAUUAUAUGUCUUUGGUUCUAUUAAAAAAAAAAAGUCUUUGGUCGGGGGAAAAAAUGCCGGAAUCAAAAGCGCAACUGUAAUAAUAAUUAUAUGACAAGACCCCGGCAAAGAUGAAAAUACCCUUACUUACAAAAUCGAACUAUUUGAGCUUCAAAUCUAUUUUCUUUCUCUUAAUUAUUCUUUUAAAGAGCAAAGAAGUGGGUGAAUCACGCGUCAAUUUUUUAAGCCUUAUUUUCUUCUCAAGUUCUAUAUUACUGCAUCUAAACACACUAAAAAUCCGUACAACGCUGAAAAUCAUUUUCUUUUCAUUGCUAAGGAACAUAUAUUGGAUAAAUCUAACUCCAAUAAAGGUAAUAGUAUUUUCAAACUUAAACUUUGUGUUUCAUGCCAUUCUCCUCAACUGACUAAAUUAUUAAAUUGUUGCUAUAAUUUAUGGUUUAUGUGUAUAAUAUAGAAAUAUUGAGUUAUUACUGUGAAAAAGUCCAAAUUUAUUGCUACAAUUGAUGAAAAAAAAUUAUUGUUCGUAAAAAAUACCAGAUGAUUACUCAAAGCCACGUUAGGUAAUGGCCAAGUAAGAGUAAUGGUUGUGUAAAUACUUGAGGGUCAAGUAGGGGUUUAGUAGGGGUCAAGUAGGGUCGUGUUAAUAAUUAUUUAGAUUAGGUAAUUACGAAAAUAGAUGAUUUUAUACUUUUUAACAUUGUGUUUAUUACUUUGUUUUAGGACUACGUACUUCAUUCGUGUUGCUGCGAUUCAAUGGUGAAUGGAUCAAGAUAAAUGGUGAUUACAAGUUCAUUAUUCAGAGGCCAGGAGAACCGAGGUGCACCGUUCAAUCACUCAUGAACAAAUUAUUGUUGGUUAAUCCAUUGCGCAACUCAUUGUGUUGGACUUGUUUGAAUAUGAUAUUACCAUGAAGUUUAAAAUAUAUAGCUUCAAAUGCAGAUGUUGCUUUGUUUCCGGGAGAAAACCGCAGCUUAAAGACGCGAAUACCUCUUUGCGUGACAUAUUUACUAAGUUCAGUCCAUCAACACAGAUAUUUGAUAUGGGGAUAGAUGAUCGAUGCCAAUAAAAAAUAUAGAUGAUAGAAAAAUGAAUGGUGAUAGUUGGCAAGAUCAUCAUUUUAACCUAAGCUUUGUACUGGUAUCUUUAGCCACAUUUCAAUUUACCGAUACAAAACUGGCUACCAAACAUAUUUCCUUAUUUUUUGUUCUUAGAAAACGGAAAACAUUAACAUUACCAAAGAGGUCCGUAAAUAUCUGGACUUGCUUCCUUUAUUUCGGUUACUUUGUUAUUCUUUUUUAAUUUCACUUUAUUUUAAUUUCACUCGAAAAAAUAAGAAAUACGUAUAAGAUUUUUUUAAUAAUAUUUAUUAAUUAUAAAAGUGUGCUUGGAAAUGAGAGUUAUAUCUUUAAAUUAUGAUCUAAAGGAGUAAUGAGUAUUGCAAAAAUACUAGUAGGUAAUGUUAAUAAAUACAAAUUUCUCUAAGGAGAAAGUCGUAAUUUCAUUGUUUUGUGUUACAAUAAUUGGUGUUCUUCUAAAUUAGUAGGUGUCAUCCAAUUAAAAUGGUAGAAUUCUUAUGAAAAAAAUAAAAGGUCUAGAGUUUGAAACUUGUUCACAUUGGUGAGGAGAGAUUGAAUUGUCGUUAUGCUAAAUAACAAUAAGAAUAAAAAUGUGUUUUUCUAAACAAAACACAUCCACAAUAAAAACCACAAUAUUUAUUAAACAAAAGCAAAUAGGAACUUUUCCUUAUUCGGGAACGUAGGUAGAGAAAUACAUAAAUAGGAAAACCACAUUAAUUUGAAAUGUAAAUCCAAUAAAGAGACCAAGGACUCAAGGCUUUUUAAGAAACUCCAUAAUGUAAGUGUUAAAAGCAGAGCACACAACUUUGAAGCCUUGAAAUCCGGCGGCCUUAGCCAAGGUUUUGAAAUCUUGUUCGGUCAUCUCUCUCCCACCUGUAGUAGAAGCCAACAUGAUGCAGUCAAGUUGGAUCACAUGUUUGGAAGCAAGGCUUGUGUCUGGGAGUACUGGGAGAAUACAGUCAGCAACAAUCACUUUCCCAUCUUCUGGAAGUGCUUCGUAGCAAUUCUUCAAGAUCUUCACGCAGGCUUCUUCACUCCAAUUAUGACAUAUCCACUGUAAGUAACAGCACAAAAUGAAUUAAGAUUUUAAUCAAUAAAUUAAAACCCUGCUGGGAGGCCGAGAGUGGCAAAAACAAAUAACCUUCAUGAAAAUGGCAUCCCCUUUUGGAAUACUGACGAACAUGUCUCCCGCAACAUGCUCAAUACCUACGUCAAAUUCAACCAUGGAUUAAAAAAAUUGAUACAGGAUAUAGAAUAGGGAAAUUAUCACUUAUCCACUCAAGAUUUGAUCCGUGAUCGAAGCUAUUCAAAACCUUUUCAAAUUAUUCGACAGUCCACCCAAAGUUUUGCAAAGUGUAUCAAUUAAUUAAUUUUUCAGUUUGUCAGUAAUGCUGUUAGAAAUUUCUAGGGAAACUAAAUAAAAUGACCACUUUGUCCUUGAAGUGUCACCAAAAUUUAACAGUUAUUAACAGUUAGGUGGAUUGCUAAUAUACUUCACAAACCUUGGCCGACAGCUGAUAAUUUUAUAAGGUUAUAAAUAUUCGGGAGAUUGCUAAUUUUCCCUUACAGUAAUCAAUAUAUGCCAUUUAUUUUCCUGUUGUUUUUAUAAUAAUCAAUAAUUCCUCUAACAAUAUAAUUUUACAAUAUUACAUUUACUUUCAAAUACACUUUUAUUUAUAUUUAUUAUAAAUUAAAUAAAUAAUAUGAAUAUAAAUUAAAAUAAAAAAUUAAGUAUUAAAAAUAAGAAUAUACAUUUUGAUGUGACUAAAAAAUUGAAUGUGAUUGUAUUUUCCUUAUUUUUUAACAUGUCUAAAUCUUGGGAGGAAAAUUUUGCUAAUUUCCCUUUAAAAAAUAUAUUAGGGAAACAACAAUGAUCAAUAUACACACCCGGGUAAGCUGGAGCAUCCUGAAUUACAUGUGGUAAAUCGAAGUUAAUGCCUUUAAUUGAUGGAUACUUGGAGAUAAUCAUGUUAAGUGAGGCUCCAAUUCCACCACCAACGUCAACAACUGACUUGAGGCCUUCAAAGCCUUUGUAAUUUUCAAGAAAUUUCUUCAUGGUAAUGGUAGAAUGAGAAAACAUUCCAUUGUUGAAAAUCUUGUUGUAUCUUGGAUCUUUGCCAUGAUACUCGUAUGUAUUCAUCCCGUAGGCCAUGUUGAAUGGGAUGCCACCUUCAAGUACUGCGUCUUUUAAGUGGUACCUGCCCCAAACCACAUUAAUUUCCUGGGAAGCUAACAACAUUAAUCUGGAAAUGAAUAAUGCAUUAUCACUUAUCAAAAUUAUGUAAUCUAUUCUUAAUCAAGAUAGACAUAUAAAGCUUUGUCCAUCUCCCUAUUUUUUAAAAUAAAUUAAGAUAGACAUGUGAACCAGAGACUUGAUGAAGUGGUUUUCAAAUGGAUUAUUACGUGAAAAAAAAACCUUGAUAUUUAUAUGAAGUUUUGCGAAAAUUUGGUGGUUUGGAUUUUUUAUUUUUUAUAGAAAAAAAUUCAUGUGUAUUUUUUUUCGUAACAUUAAAGAAGAAUAAAAUUACAGGACGGACAAUUACCAGCUUUCCAUAACAAUCUUGUCUUGACUCACGAGACAAAGGUUAGAAAGUGAAACACCAUCUUCUUUUUGGGUAAGGAAUUUACAGACGGGUGCAAGGCCAUAAAGCCUCUCAACUCCGCCACCAGGGAGAGUGUGCAAAGAGCAGUUAAGAACUGAGAAGCUAGCCAAAAGACGCAAUAUGCGAUCGAGCAGGAUAUGGGCAUCUGGGUUCUUUGUGGGCAGCUGAGAAGCUAUUUGUUUUGGAGACAUGAAAGCACCUGGGCCAGCUUUAGCAAUGAGCUCUAAAAGAUCAAGCUCGAUAGCUGAUUUGAGAACCAUUGGCAAAACUGAGGCACUGGUUAGUUGCAUGGCAAAGAGUUUUGCUUCCUCGUCUGAGAUUUGAGUUGGAAUCAUCUGAGUUUCAGUACCCAUUUUGUUUUUGAGAGAGAGACGAGAGAACGAGUCUAGAGAAAAGGGCUAAUGGCACUGAUCAGUAGUAAGCUAGCUAAGUGGAGUUAUUUAUAUCACUAAGAGAAGGUUACUUUUAGUCUGUUUUUAUGUGCCCCUUUUAGCUUUGGCAAGUCAAAGAGAACGUGCCACUUCGGCCAAGGCCGAAGUGGUGGGCUGCUGCCGGCAGCGGUUCUAGCCCCCACAAAGGCAUUGUGGGGGCUAAAUGUUCUUUAUAUUUAAAAAUCAUUCUCCCUUGCGAAAUGCAAGUGGAAUAUGGACAUCCCUCUCCUGUGAGGGGUUAUUUAUCUGGGCAUGUACUUCAUAGAAUUCAAUGUAAUAAUGUAAGUCCCAAUCAUGUAUAUCUGAUUGUAAAUAUCAGUGUAAUAUCUCUGCUAUAAUAGCAGUUGUUGUAAAUAUCUGUGUAAUGCAGUAAUCUGAUGAUUAAUCAGUAUUCAAAAAAAAAAAAGUCAAAGAGAACGUCAUAUAAUUACAAAGAGGGGAAAUGCUUGAAAUCUGGAGUUUUUUUUUAUUACAUAAGACUAUUGUUCAAAUUACAACUCAUAUUACAUGAGAUUGUAACUGAUAUUUACAAAUCAUACUAUUACUGGGACCAACUUACAUCAAUACUAAUGAAGUACUGCCCAGAUUUUAACUCUCACAAAUAUUCGAGGGAUAUAUAUCUACUACUCACACUUGGGUAAGAGAAAAGACUGCAUUCACUUAAAUUUAAUUGAAGAAGGAAAUACCCCCACAAUGCAUUUGUGGGGGUUCGAACUGCUGCCCUCCAAGUUGGAGGGCAGCAGCCCUAACCACUCGACCCGAGUGGCUGCUUGAAAUCUGGAGUUAUUUAUGCAAAAGGAGCACUCAGAUUUAAACAUAGAAAAUAAAAUAUUAUUCGUGGAGAUUAUUAUCAUAGCAUACAACACGUACGACAGCACUUGCCAUACUAAAGUGCUAUCACUUCUGAUAUGAUAAUAUUUCUUUUGUAGUCAAAUAUUUUUUUUUAACAAAAUUAAGAGUUUUUUACUAGACCUGCAAAAACAGCAUGAAAUACUCUUCAAAGUUACAAAAAAAAAAAAAGGGGAAAAGAAGAAGUGAAUGAUUACAACAGCAUGUGGACUAGUUAGUCUUAUUAUGAAUUAUAUUUUUUAUAGGGUUGUGAUGCAGUUUAACUAUGAAGAUUUGAUUCAAUAAAUUUAUGCUAUUCAAAGUUGAUUUUUCAUGUUGGGAGUUCUUUUUAAUAUUUGUCCAAUAUUUAAUUAAUUUGAGCAGUCUAAUAAAUGUGUUUUUUUGCUUAUGCGAUGAAUGUCAUGAACUACGAUGUAGACGAAAAUGUGCCAUAAAUCCUGAUUCCCGAUCGAUUUAUUAUGCACUUAAUCUAUAACUACCAUGGUUCCUAAUGAAUUGCACUAUUUUAAAUUCACAAAGAGUGCCGAAGUAUCUUUAAUAAUGCUGGAGAAUGAUUAUAAAAACAAUUAGUAUUUUUAAUUGUCAACAUCUAUAGCGGUAAUUAAAAAACUUUAGUUGCAUAAACAUAUAUAGGAAUUAAAUUGGAAUACUUAUACUAAAAUCAGAUGUACAAACUGAUUUUGCUUUAAAACUUUUCUCAUUCAAUCUUCUUUAAUCGACUUUUCAAAAAAAAAAAAAAUUAUUUUAUCUAUUAGUUCGUAAAAAUCUAGGAUUAAUUAAUUUUGAUAAUUAAUAAAUUAAACAAUCCACAUGAAAACGAUAAUUUUCUCAUCACGUUAUGAAUGUAUUGUAUGUAUGUAUAUGCAAAAUUCAAUAAAAUAAUUCUUCGAUACAUUCUUUAUUAAUGAGAAAUGACGCUUCUAAUCUUCUUUAUGAAAUUUGUUUUAAAAAAGAGUAUAUUGAAAGCAGCCAGGGAGGCUAGGCGCUGGUUAAUUUGAGUCCAAUGAUUUUCAAAGAUUGACUGUUCAAGUUUACUAAAUUGAAUUGAAUUGAAUUGAAUUGAAUUGAAUUGAACUGUGAAGUGUACUUAAUUGGAAAAGUACUUGUAUAUGGUUUGGAUUAAAUUUCUCAUGAAAUCACGAGGACAUGUCAAUUUCCUACUCGAUGAAAAUUACUCCUGCCAUUGAUGACCAAGAAACUGCGUAAACAAAUAUAACUCGUGUACUAGAAUCAAAAUUAUUGGCCAUUCAAAUAUGCUAGCCAAUUUGUUAAUAACUUUCCCACACCAACCAGGGCUAUCUUAUUGUCGAAAAUCAGCAAAUAAGGAUUAAAUUCAGUACAAUACUUUUGACAUUUAUUCUCAAUUUUCUCUAGAGAUUCUCUUCAUGCAUUAUAAUUAGGGAUGGCAAUGGGGAGGGGAGGGGAGGGGAGGGGACCAAUCUCCCCGUACUCAUCCCCGAUAUUUUACGUAUGUCCCCAUCCCCUUCCCGUCCCGUAAGAAUUGCUUGAGAGAAUCCUCAUUCUCUCCCAAAAUAAUAACAGGGGAUCCCCGAGAGUUCUCGAUCACCAAAUAACUAAUACAUUUUUUUUUUCGAUUUUGAGUUAAUUAUAUUAAAAUAAAAUUCAAGUAAAAGUAAAGUUCGAAAUAUAUCUUACAUUAACAUUGAUCCAUUACAAAAGUCACAUGCAAAAUAUAAAUUAUCAAAAUAAUUAUCUUUGUCAAUCUUUAUAAUCCUACAAUAAAAAGAAAAAGAAUUUACUUUUAUAUCGACAAUAAAAUAAAUGAAAUAAAUGUAGAUACUUAAUUAAUAUUUUUAAUAAAACAAAAUUAAAAUUAAAACAAAAUUUUUGGGUUAAUAGAAUCUACUCGGCCUUUUUAAUGUCUUAAAUAAAAAUUUAAGACUUUAAUUAGUUAAUUAGACCUAAAAAUUUAAUAAUAUAAAUAUUUUGAUAUUUGUUAUUUUUACCAAUAUUUAUAAUUUUAUAAUAUAAUACAAUUUUUAUUAUUUAUUUACUAGUAAUUUUAAAAAUUAAAAUUAAAAUUAAAAAUUAAAAUGGGGGAAAUGGGAGGGGAUGGGGAUUCCACCUCAUCCCCGUCCCUUUCCCGAAUAAGAAACUAGGUAAAAAAAUUUCUCCGUUCCUUCCCCGAAUAAAAAAUCGGGUAUAAAAUUAUUCUCGUACCCUCCCCGAAUGAGAAAAUCCCUGAGAGUACCCGUCCCCAUGGGAAUUUUUGCCGUCUCUAAUUAUAAUAUUCUUUUUCAUUUUGCGCGCAUUCUUUUCCUGCGUUAGAAAAAUUCUUCUCCCGGUGGCGGUGGACUUUUCAGCCUUUUCCUGCGUCAGAAAAAUUCUUCUCCCGAUGGCGGUGGACUUUUCAUUCUUGUCCUGCGUCAGACAAAUUCUUCUCCCGGUGGCGAUGGACUUUUCAUCUCUCUCUAAAUAAAUUUACAAAUGAAUUUGUUAUCUUUGAGUUUAAAUAAAAUUUUGAUUUGAACUUUUUGUCUUGUGUGGUACAAAUGACAAAUGACUGGGUGUGGAAAUGGUAAUCAGAGUAGUAUCUCCAUAAAAUGUAAAUGUUAACUAAGUAAUAAUUUUUAUAAAAAUUACCUGAUCAAAUGUGUUCGAUAAUAUUACUUGUGAAGUAUAAAAGAAAAAGAUCCUAUGACACAGUUCCUAUGAUUAAGCAAUUAGCAAGACAUUGAGGCAAGAAUAAGAAUAAUAGUUAAAAGGAGUGAUUCAGUUAACGUCAAAUUACGGAACGCAAACGUGAACUUUAAAAAAAUAAAUGAAUAUAAGUUCUAGAAAGAAUGAAAUAUUAUUGAUAAAAGUCUGAAUGACAAAGUUAGGAUUUUAAAGUCUUUUUGUACUGACCUUAAAUAUUACAAAUUUAUCAAAACAAACAAACUUGAAAAAAUCUUAUAUAAUAAAAUUCUCCUAAUUGAAAUAAGAAAAAUAAAACAAACGGCAUUUAAAUGCUAAAAGCAAUAGGAAUUAAACUUACAAAACGACAACAAAAGAAAGGGAAUUUCCAGCUGAAACAUAGAGCAAAUAUUGGCAUAGCUAGGUUAGAUUCAUCUUAUUGUAGAUUUCGAAAUGAUAUAUUAUACGGCCCAAACAAACAUUUGUAGGUCAAGUUGUGAGAAAAGUAUCAUACACAUUCUACAUAACUAUCAUACAUCAGUCCCCUUCACUUCAAAGAGAACUUGUCCUCGAGUUAUUCCAAUAAAACUCGUUGUCAUUUAGAUGAUACUCAAAUAGAUCAAACACGUUGAAUGUAUUGGAUUUUUUCCAAUUGCUCUAUAAAUGUAACCUUAAUUUUAAUCAUAAGAAUCAAUAAGUUUUGCAUAUCAUUACAUACAUUUGCUUUGAACUAUGAAAAAAAUAAUAUUAUUUUUAUGUAUGCUUUUCAUAUGAAAACUAAUUUCAAAUUCUAAUUUCAUAACCAAAACUUUUAACAUUUCAACCUAUAUAUAUAUAUUGUCAUGAUGUUUAUGUUGAAAACACAUUGUAGGUUUGGUAAUAUUUUAAACAUAUUUCCUCGAUUAUUUCAUUAUGUUGUUAAAUCAGAUCUUUUUAAUUUGUAUUUUCAUAAAUUUGUAUUUUAUUCUUGUUCAUAGAGCAACGAAAAUGAGAACUGCAGUCCUUGUUUGCCAUAAACUUACAUGUUGUUCUUGUCCGUAGAGAAGAGAAAAAUAAAACUUCAUUCUUGUUUGAAGAAUAUUAGUUAGUUUAAGAAUUAAUGAAUUAUGUUAUGUUAUGCCCUUGUGGUUAAAGCAAACUCAUUACCCACAAGAAAUUAAUUAAUUAACAAUUAAGAUGGAAACUGAUAUUAUAUAUAUUUUACUUCCUUUAUUUUUUAUCAAUUGUACAUAUGCAGAAGAAAAGUAAGACACGUUUAAGUAUUUAUUAAACGCAAUACAUGCCUAAUCAAUUUAUUAAACUCACUCUAAAAAAAUAAAAGGUGAUGAAAAUUUUUAUUUAUUUUGCUCUUUAAAUAAUAAGAUAACACUUUUAUAAUAAAAUUUAUUAAACACGUGUAUUUUACUUUUCAAACGUACAACUAUCACAAUAACAUAAUUUACCAAAUGCCUAACUAUAUUUUCACUUAGCAACCUAUUUUAUCAGCAAAAUAAAAGUAACUAAUUUCAUCAACCAUUACAAUCCCAAACUGGCCUUUUAGGCAUGUAUAUGGGAGAAAGUAUUUGACUAUGCUAUUGAAUUUGUUACUUUGAAAUUUAUUUCGAUUUUCUGUGAUGCUAGUUCAUUGAUGCUAGUGAUUUUGUGUUGAAGUGAAUUUAUGUCCACAAAAAUACAUGUUGGGAAAGGGACUACCACAAGCAAUUGUAAAUUAAGCGGAAAUAAAAUUUUUUUCUCUUUGUGUGAUUAAAAUAGGAUGUGCACCAUAAAUGAAUAGGCAAAAUAAACCAAUAAAUUCAAAGCAAAAACCAACCACAAGAGACAUAUAUUUUUACGUGGAAAACCCAAAGCGGGAAAAACCUCAGACCGUAGUCCGAUAUAAUCUUCCACUAUAUUAAUGGGAUUACAGCACAAAUGAAAUGACCCGCCCCGAAUUCCCAGGACGAGUCUAUCUAAUCUCGUCUAAUCGAAUUAAUAAUAAUUCUGAUAUCUAAGAAUUUUAUCAAAAAAUCGACAGAGUCUCCCAUAUAAAUAUAACAUUCCCAAACCUGCAAUUUACAAAACAAUACUCCCAAAAAUAAUUCAAUAACCAACCAUCCUUCAUAACCAACUUCUCAAGUCAACAUACCAAAUAUCACCCAAAUCAUUCUAAUAUUAAAAUACAAUGGUUAUCCUUAAUUACAAAAUAUAACAAUAAAUACAAUUCGCAAUAUCCCAAAUAUCAAAAUAUUAAAUCUACGGUUCCUAGCACCAUCACGUGGCACAAUUUCAAAUCUAACUAUCGUUGUUGGGUCGACUGAUGUAUCUGUAAAUCUCCUGUGGAGGGGGGGGGAAUAUAAUAAAACCGAGGUGAGUAUAAAACUCAGUGAGUGGAUAAUAGUUUUUGAAAAAUAAAUUUACUUAAAAAUAAUUUAAUUCUUCUCUAAACAAUCUCAUCAAAAUUUCAUAAGACUUUAAAGAAACUUAUUUAAUUUAAAUCAUACACUUGAAUAACAAUAUUUUAUAAAUUUGCAUAAAAUCAAUGAAAUCAUAAUACUUAUAAUAUCAAAUACUGAAUACCAAAAAUUAUCAUCAAACAAGUACCCAGGGGAAUAAUCUCAUCAUAUCUGGACCUCGACGGACAGGCAAUCAGGGAACCAUCAUGCCCCGGAGCUACAACGGAUAGACGAGGAAAUGUCAUCUCAUAUCUCAUGUAUCUCAGCAUAUGUAUCUUUGUAAUCAUCAUACUGUAUGCAUAAGCCCCCAAAAGGCAAAAGCGCCCAAACACACAACCCAAAGCCUCUAUGUGUGUUCAGAUGGGCCCCAAAGGCCUUUAUCUCAUCUCAUCUGUAUCUCUGUAUUCAUCUCAUAUUAUCUGUAUCUCUGUAUCUGGGGGAGAAGGGUACUGUCCAAUAAUUUUCCAAACAACAUUUUAUACACAUGUACAUCAACAUAUAAUCACAUCUGAAAUCUCAUUUUUUUUUUAUUCAACAUAUCUCAAAAUACACUCAAUUCUAAUAUCAUGCAUUUACUCAAAAAUGAUAAUAAAAUCAUUAAUCAAACUCAUUCUUAAUAACAAUAAAUAUCAACACAGAUAAAAAUCAAUUUUCUAGAAAAUCAUUUAAUCGAACAUCGAAAACAUGUUGUACUGUAUGGUAAAAUCAGAAUAUACUAUGAAAAUAUGUUUUGUAUAUUCCACUUAUAGUAACAAAGUCCAGACUCGGUAUCAAUAACGUCCGCGGGUUGAUUCUCGUUCGCGGAUCCUCCUAAUCAAGGAAACAGCAUAAUCAUUCUCCGUAAAUUUGAAAUACAACUAAUUUUACAUAAUAAUUCUCGAAACGAAUAUCUAUCCACAAUAAACUAUUCCCGCAUGCACAAAAUUACCAAAAUACCCCCAACAUCAUUAUUUUACCAAAUUAUCCUCAGAAUCUUCAAUUACUAAAUUGUCCUCAAUUCAGAUCACGAAAAUAACUACAAUGUCAGAAAUUACGAAAUUACCCUUGAAGCGUAAAAUUACCAAAAUGCCCUUAACGACUUAAAUUACUGAAUUAUCCUCGAAAUCUCAAAUUACCUCACUGCCCUAACCAAAGAUUACCAAAUUAUCCACUGAUUUCACAAAUUACAAAUUCACCCUAAAGUUUUAUGAAAUUACCGAAUUGCCCCUGCCGGUCAACGGUGACCGGACUUCAGUCAACAUUGACGGGAAGCUUAGGUCUGAUAGUUCAGACCUCGGUGAGUCCAACGGUGCCGACGGUGACCUACCACGCGCGGCGAUGGCGGUGGAUCGUGCUCCCAAAGCCGUUUGCUUUCCGGCGGUCGUUCACGGCCAAAACGGAGGUUUCAGGUGCCGGGGUUAGUCGGAAAUGAAAGCUGGUGACGUCGGGAGUCGAACCCAACCGGUGGUGCAACCUAAUUCCGGCUAGAUUGACGGUGAAGAAAAAGGGUUGUGCCGCGGCUUUCAAGCUUAGAUCGCCGGCAUUCUGGCUGAUUUCCGGUGACUAUGACAGCGGGGAUAUGACCGGCGUCGCUCAAGCUUCAGAUCGGUACCAAGAUCGGCCGGUGAGGUGGCCGGAAUCGGCGGUUGGAGCCGGGUGAAGGACGCGGGUCGGAUGUGGGCUGAACCGGUCAAUUACUCUCUCUCUCCUUCUCUCUCACGUGUAAUUAAAUUAAAUUAAAAACACACAAUGCAAUUAAAUUAAAAACACACAAUGUAAUUGCACAACCAUUUUACACGUACACAAUUCAAUUCAACAACCCAAUAUAAAAAAUAAAAAAACUCAUAUCUUAUACAAAUAAAAACACAAUACAAUUAAAUUAAAAACACACAAUAUGUGAUGUUAUGAGAAUGUAUUGUGUGCGUGUGUUAACUUGUAUUAAUUUUUUUUUUUUAAAUAAGGUUGGGUCGGCAUUAAACCCGACUUUGAUCCAAAAUUUAUUCAAACCUUAAAAUUUUAGCCCUAACCCAAUCCUAAACUUAAAAAUUCGGGUCAAAAUCUUCCUAUCACCCAAUUAAAGAUUGAAUUUAUUAUUCCCUUCUACUGACUUUUUUCUCUCUCUCUUGCGGCUUUUCUUCCACCAAAAGUUACUGCCGCUAUUUUUCACACACAAUUCCAUUAGGGCAGCGCUGCCUUUGAUAGCCAAAUUACAUGGCAAAUUUCAUCCAAAUCCAAAGCUUUGAAAUAAUUACAAACCAAACAAAUUUAUUUGGACUUUGAGUUUUUGGGCCCCCAAAUGAGAUGGACCCAACAAUACAAUUGAGAUUUGUUAAGUUUUGCAAAAUCCAUUAUUAGCAAUCUACUGUUCAUAUUUGUUUAUAAUUAUUGUAAAUAUAAAAUAAGUCAGUGAUAUCAACAAAAGCUUUUAGUGAUUUUAAAACUUGAAGAGAAACAAAACCAAGAAAAUUGCUAAACAACCUGCUUACUUGCUUGUUGUAUAAUUGAUCAAAAUAUAAAUAAGAGAAAACCGUUUCUUGAUCAAAGAAGCAUGUGCAAAGAUAGUUCUAAUUAUAUGAAAAUAACCAUACGAUGCCAUUGUUGCAGUUCAUACUUGUUUGGGUUGGACUAUUCUAGUAGUGUUUCAAAAUAUAGUCGAUCCUAAUAUACUCAGAACUUAUGUUGUUGAGCUGACCUCAUAAGUACAACCUGGAGUCUAUGUUGGCGACCUGAUUUACAAGUACGGCCUAAGAUCUAUGUGAAUGACCUAGUUUAAGAAUACAACCUCAACGCUUUAUGAGCGACUGAGAAAUUCAUAUGUUUGAUAUGAAAGUGAAGUAAUUCAACCUUAAAAUUCUCUUGUCCGACCUGAGAAUUAGUUUGACAUAGAAAAUUGCUAGUUAAGAGAACGUGGCCUAAUUUAUAGGGAAGUUGUGUGCCACGAUCUAUUUAAACCACCUCCAACUGACAACCAUUUGCAACUGCUGAAGAAAGCGGGCUGAAGUUAAGGAGGUAACCGUACACGACCAAGAGUCUAUUUAAACUGAAGAGUGCAUCAGGUGAGAGGGUGAGCAAAAUCAACCAAAGCUUCUACAAGAUGUUCAGCCCCUCUACCGGAAAAUUACUUGACUUUAAUUCAUUCAUAAUUCUUCAUUCUCAUUUUUCUCCUUUUAUACAUAAUUUCUGACUUAAGCAUCGGAGGGUCUACGCCGGAACCCCACCGGCGUGUCCUAACCGUGUUUUCUGGUUGGCAUAUAUAGAAAGUUGCAAUCAGACUUGCGUUUGAGCUUGGAUUCACACUGUAAUUCCUGAAAAGAAACAAAUUCAGCUGUUGAGCUCGUUUUUUCGGCAUCAACAAUACCUUUGGGUGUAUUGAUACGCUAGGAUGGGGGAGCCAAUUUCGGUAGUCUUUUGUAAAAUUUCAAUAAUAAUGUUAAAAAAAUCUAACUGAACCCUUAUAUCAUUAUAUAUCAUCAUAUUUUAUUAUAGAUCAACAUAAAAUUUUGCAGGUACACGAAAUCUGUAGAAAGAGAAUGUGAGCUAUAUUAUUUCUUAUGGAGUUUCUAUUUUCAAUUAGUUCUUCCUUGGAGCACCAACUCUUAUUUUUUAGAUACUUUUAAAAAUUUGAAAGUUGUCCCGAUCCCCAUUCCGUUGAAUAAUAAAAGAAAACAAUUUCUUUUUUUAUAUUUAUAUAAAACAAGCUUUUUAAAAAUUGGAUUUCGAGUUUUACAAAAUAAGUUGUCAGUUAUAAGUUCUGUAUAAAUAAUACAAUAUGAAUACAACUAUAAUUUUCAUCCACACUAAAAUGAGAAAAAAAAAGAAAGUCAAGACAAAAUUGAGAGUGUAGAUUGUCAUUUAAAGAGCACAGGAAGUUGAAGGUAAUUGAAAUUGAAAAUGAUUCUCAUUGGAUGAGCAAGAGAUUUAAAUUAAAUUUCUGAAAAGUUUGCGUUGUAAACGAAUUUUGAUCACACGGGGUUUCGAGAAUAAGAAUGGAGGAUUAGUCAUGAAAUAAAAGUGGUGUUGUUAGAAAUAGUGAUAUCUUUAAAUAUUUUUAAUGGUAUAUUUUAGGAAAAAAAAGGUUUUACAAGGAGUUUUUAAGGGUGUCAAUAAUCCAACUUUAUUUUAAUAAAUUUAAUGGAAGUUAAAUUAACUAAUAAUUGUGAAUUUUCAAUUAUGAAUAGUGUAUUGUUCCUGCUUGUUGUGAAUUGUCAAUUAUGAAUAGCGUAUAGGCUGAGAGCAUUUGCGAAGCAGGAGUUCUCUCUACCUCUUUCAAAACAGAUAGUUCACUUUUCUUCACCAAAAGCAUAUCCAACUUGUUGUUCUAAUCAGUUGUAAAUGCAUUCUUACGUUAAUAAUAAUUCAUUGUAUUGCACUGGCAAAGCUUCCUUGAGGACAGUGCUCUAAAAUCUUAGCACACGCCUUCGCGCUUUGGGGAGAUCUUGGGUUCAUCUUCUGCACAUGAUGGGGAGAGGGGAUUUGAUCUCAACAGUACUCGGAUCAUAACGGAGGAAGAGAAGAUUCAAGGGUUACUAAUUCUCUGUUUUGUCGCUAGUUUUGCAACUUUUUUUUCACUGCUCCUUGAGUAAUCCGAGUGUCCUCUGCACAGUUUGGGUACUCCAGAUCAACAGCAAACAAUAAUAACAUAAAAGCGAGUAAAGAGAAUAACACAGGAGAUUUACGUGGUUUGGCUUCGUUAGGCCUACAUCCGCUAGGAUAAACACACUCGUGCCGAGUUUAUUGAUCACUAAGGAUUUUACAAUGGAAAUACACUCAUUCUUAGAAGUUAUUGAGCUUACAAUUUCUCCCUCCCCGAAAACUAUUAUGUGUUUCCUAAACCCAACCACUAUGGUUCGCAGUUGCACCUUGGCUUGUCCCCUUGGUUCCUGGCCGUACCUUGGCCUUCCUCCUGGCUGCCCUUUUGGCUUGCUUCCUUGGCUGCCCCUUUGGUUGCCUCCCUUCGGCCUGCCUGUUUCGCCUCUUACUGAAUUUUGUUGGCUUUUGUAGAGUAAUUCCCUCAAAUGAUUUAAGUACCUAAAUAGCUACCAUAGCGGUUAUCUAUCAUCAUGGUUAGUUAUCCAACCAUUAAGUGCUAUACAUAGUUAUUUAAUCAUCAUAGGUCGUUACAUCCACGUCACAGAGCUUAAAUAUGGUGCCACGUAAAUUAAAACUCCAACACCAAAUAUCUGGUAUUGAACAAGCUUUUUUAAUAUCUGGUGUUGAACAACUUAAUUCAAAAUAUACAACUGAAUUUUGAUGUUGAAUUCUGUUUCGCAAGCUAGUUUUGUCUCUUUCAACUCUAAUUCUCAAGUCGGGUUUUAUUAAGAAUAUUAUAAUUGGUUGCGUUGCCUUGUACCUUUUAUUUUAGUUGAAGUUUGAUUCUUGCAUUCUGCAUUUCCUACUUUGGUAUGCUACGGCAUUUGGUUUUCCCAAAUCUAUUAUCUAGAUGUUUCUCUACACUAUUUGUUUUCACUCUUAUCUUAUUUGCUGAUAUGUCUGCUUUCAGAAUGGAAUGCAUUCUCUUUCUCCAGCUGUGUGGUCCAAGCAUAGAAGAUGGCUCUUAAUGUCCAUGCUUUGUCUGAAUCCUUAGCUUGUGUAAGUUCGAAGCCUCUCUAUGGUUAAAAACACAUGGUGAUUGAUUUUUGUGCCAUUUAUUGACUGAUAUUCAGGUUUUGCCACUAAUAGUUGAUAGUCUUUUCCUUAAUUGAUAGUUGAUGGGAAUUUCUGACAAUGUUGAUAACUGUUUAUCUUGCCUUUCUAUAGUUGUUCUAACCUACAUUAAUAAGAACCAGAUACCAGACGAUCAGCAUGAUAGAAAUUCCCCCCCCCCCACCUCUCUCCCAUUUUAUCCUAGUUUUCUUUGAUGCUGGAGUAUAUUUUAUCCCUCUCUCUUUAUAUAUGUAUAGAUAUAUACUUCACUUUGUUUGUUUCAUUGGCACUUCCUUCUAUGUCAUAGUACUUGCACGAUACUGUCAUUAGUUAAUCAUUAUACAUCUAAUUUAUUUAAGUUUUGAGCUUCUGAGGUGCCUUGAAAGGCUUAUUGAAUAGUGAGAACUGAAAGGAGUCAAAUGAAUAAUGCCUGUUAUUUUUCUGAUACCAUGCCGAACUGAAAACUCUUAACGUUGGCCACCUCCUAAAAAAAUGUAAGAAAAUAUGUCGUAAUGGAAAUCAUUUAUUCUUUAAGCACUCCACUUGGGAUUUGUUAGCGUUUGGGGUACCAUAAAAUUGGAUAUGUAGUUGGAAUUUGAAUAGAAAUCUUUCUCGAGUAUUCAAGGUGUUUGAAUUCUCUGAAGAGGGUGAUUGAAAUGUUUGAUCGAAGUAGUGUAGCAUAGAAUACAAUUAUAAGUAGUCUGUAUAUUUAAGUAAUCUAAUUGAAGGAAACUACAUGAAAGCACGCCAUAUUCCUUUGGAACUAGAACUUAUUUCUGCCUAUUAAGGUGAAGUUUCUAACUGAGCCUUCUCCUUCACUUCUCCCUCACUCUGUUCGCAGUCAUUUGUGGAUCUGCAGUGUCCUAAUGGGCAGUUUAUUUAUGUAUCUGGGGAGGGUCUAAAUGCUAGCGCUUUCCUACCUCUUUGUGGGGGCCUUCUUCAGGCUCAGGGCCAAUAUCCAGGGGAAAUGAGGUUCAGCUUCUCAUGCAAGGUUAGAUUGUAAAGUGGGAAUGGAUGGUAGCAAAAACAAAUGGAGUGGAUUAGGUUUCAUAAGCUUUUGAAAGCGAUUUUAUGUUUAUAAAUUUCAAAUUUGUCUUGGUGGCCUUGAUUUAUGGGAACUAAACUCUUUACUGUCUAAAAUUUCAACAGAAUAAGUGGGGAACACGUAUCACCCCAAUGGUACAAUGGCCUGACAAAUCGUUUACAUUGGGUCUUUCACAAGCUUUGGCUUGGCAGAGAUCUGGUCUCAUGGUGAGGCCGACCAUUCAAUUCAGGUAGGAUUUAUAUGCGUAACUUGUGAAAAUCUUUAUUCUUUUAUUAUUUUGUUAUCAUCAUUGAUGUUUGUAGUAAUUAGCAGACCUGUCCUUGUGUCCUUGGCGCUUUGCUUCGUGAGUUACUCAUUAGCACAGAGGAGUUCAAAAGCACAUCUUUAUUGUCAAAUGUCAUUUGAAAUGUUUCUAUUCGAGGCAUACUUUUUCCCUGCUUUUGUUUUAUUAAUUACAUUGUAUUGCCUUGCCUGCUACUGUACGGAGAAAUGGCAUUUUUGUCUCAAGUUAGUGACAUACACCCACACGUGACAGUAAUCAAAAUCUAUUAACCUGGCAAAUUUAGGAAAAUGGGGUAUUAUCAUUUGACCACCUAACAUUUCAUGACAUGUCACUUCUGUGUGUGCUGAAUCUCCUUUUUGAAAUUGAACUUUAAUUGCAUGCUUGGAUUGUUGACAUUAUUAGAAUUAUUUCAUUAUUCCCUGUUUCAAGCUGGACCUAUUUGCUCUUUAAUCUGUAUAAUACGUGGUGGUGGUAUUUUUCAUGCUUACUGCAUAUUGUUUUAAAUCCUCCUGGUCAGUUUAUGUCCCACGUUUGGUGGAACCAAUCCUGGGUUACGGGCAGAACUUAUUCAUUCAUUGAAGGAAGAACUUAGUCUUAUCUUCGGUUACACAUUCGUGACACAUCCUUCAGCGUUUGCAUCAAUAUCCGUAAGUUAUUUGCUGCUCAUUAUAAUCAUUGUUACAUUUUUUUUUUUCCUAAUGCAAUCAUUAUUAAAUUUUAUUUUCAAAGAUUUAGCAUAUUGAAAGGCAUGUGGCGUGUGAGUUUGUCAUUAUUACCCUCCUAGGUAUUUUCAUGUAGGUUUUUUUUUUUUUGCGUAGUUCAGUGAUCGACUACUUUUAAUUAAUGCUUCCCUUUUUCCCAGAUUGCUUGUUAAAAUGUAAAUCAACAUUCAUUUUAUUAUGCCACUAUGAAUCAUAGUUAUGCUGGAUAGACCAGAACUCUCUUUGGUUCACAAUACUCAAUUUAGAAUCAGCUCCACAGAUUCCUUUCAAUGCUUUUGACUUCUGCAUAUUGGCUAAAGAUUUUUGAAGCUAAUAACUGAGGACUUUUAUGAUGAACUUGGAAGAAAUGAUUGUUCUACAAUAUGGUUUAGCCGUAGGCCGUAGGGUGACAAAACGUUUCUUCUCUUCCUUGUGUGCUCUGUGGGCAGUGGCGAAGCUAAGGGUUGGCUAACCCGGGCUGCAGCCAGGGUUAGCUUUUUGAAAAAAAUAAUAAUUAAUUAUAAUUUAUGAAUUUAUCUUUAUUAAUAUUUAAAAAAAAAAAAUUUAAUAGCCCACCCCAAAGUAUGGUACUAGCUUCGCCACUGUCUGUGGGCACACUAUCGUUGGGGGUUUUAUCUUCCUGUAUUUCAAAUUGCUUGUUGUUUGCUGAUUUUGUCCUUCUUAGAUUCUUAUUGCUCUCCGCUCACACUCCUUUUUUCUAUUAAAUACUUGUUAUGUCGGGAGCUCAAGGGUAGUAAUGAGGGUUGAUGCCCCUCUUUCGAGCUUUGGACGACCUUCUUUCCCUGUUCAGAUAAAUAGUGGUAUUGAGUUUUGAUUGUUUAUAUCUUCGUACUUGGCAUUUGGAAUGUAUAUAGUCACAGGCUCAUUAACAAAAGCUACUGUAUGUGAAUAUUUAACUAUAAUAUUAAUAAUGUUCCCCAAAAAAAAAAAUGUUUAUAUCGAUUAGCAUGGUCUGUGUAUUACUUGUUCCCAACUUGUAUUCUGAGUUUUCAGUUGGUUGUUUUCGGCGUUCCUCUUUUUGCUAGAAAAUUUUGAGCGUGUCAUGUUUGGACCUUUUAUAGCUUCCCUUGUACGGUCUUUUGUCAUUAUUAUUUCACACCUGCAGAUUUAAGCAGAUCAAACAAUUUGUUGAGGUGUGAAUGGAGCUUAAAUUUCGGAAUAACAAAUUUUAGCUAUUUCUGUUCUGCCCUAGGUUUUUAUAUGAUGUUGGAUUUUUUUUAAGUUUUUGGGAAGAAUAAUUGAUGAUUGAUUAUUCUUUCUGAGAUGACUCCGAUUUUGAACAGCUCUUUUUUGUAAUCUCUCUACCAUUGCCUUUGACAAUAUUUAUAAUAAGCCGAAAAUUCCUCUGAUGGCACUUGAAUUUGAUGUUGGUUGUGGCACAUUUGGGAUUAAGAGCCCUAGAAUUAAUUCGAUAUACUGGAAACAACAUUAUAUCAGUUACAAAACCAGAGGGGUGAAAUUUGGUUAGAGUUUUCGUAAAUUUUAAACCGAAAAUUAGAAAUUCGUUAGCACUGUAAUGUCAGUAAAAAGCUGGCAUGAUCAUUGAUCUAUCUCGUCGUACUGAUAAUUUAGCCGGCUAAUUACUUGCAUAAAUAUAAAUUAUUAUUUAAUGAGAGAAAUAUUAUAGUCAAAAGAGUCGCACUAUUAAAUUCCAGUCCUAUUACUGUAAAAUAAUAAUUGUUGGUUAAAAGAAAAAAAACUAAAUUCUUGUUAAAAAUCAUCGCCAAAUUCUUGUUAAGAGUUUAAGACGCUUUUUUUUUAAUGAAUAUUUAUCACCAAAUUUUUUGAUUUAUUAUCUCGUUAUUGAUUAUAUGUCUUUGGUUCUAUAUAUAAAAAAAAAAAGUCUUUGGUCGGGGAAAAAAAUGCCGAAAUAAUAAGAGCAAUUGAAAAAAAAAAAAAAAACCCUUAUUUAUAUGACAAGAGCCCGGCAAAGAUGAAAAUACCCUUACUUACAAAAUCAAAUUAUUUGAGCUCCAAAUCCAUUUUCCUUUUCUUAAUUAUUCUUUUAAAAAGCAAAGAAGUAGGCGAAUCACGCGUCAAUUUUUUAAGCCCUAUUUUCUUCUCAAGUUCUCAUAUUACUGAAUCUAAACACACUAAAAAUCCGUAGAACGAUCAAAAUCAUCUUCUUUUCAUUGCUGAGGAACAUAUAUUGGAUGAAUCUAACUCCAAUAAAGGUAAUAGUAUUUUCAAACUUAAACUGUGUUUCAUGCCAUUCUCCUCAGCUGACUAAAUUAUUAAAUUGUUGCUAUAAUUUAUGGUUUAUGUGUAUUAUAUUUUUUGUUUAUUUCAGAUAAUGUAAUGAUACUAAGGUUAUAAUAUAGAAGGGAUAUUAUCAUUUUCCCACCUAAGGUAUUCUGACACAUCAUGUCAGUACCACGGUUUGGUAAAACUAUCAAUUUACCACCAAACGUUUAAACUGUUAGCAUUUUCCCACCAUUCCGUUAAAACUCAUUUAAUAUGUAACGGAAAAUUCCUAAAAGGUCAAUUUUACCCCUGGAGUAUAAAAAACCAUGUAAUUAACCUUUUAUGAAUUUUGUAAUUAAAUCAUCAUUUGUUGUUCUUCAUUCUUAAAGGACAAAAAUUACCAUUUAUGAAUUUUGUAAAAUUGACCAUGUGGUAUUAGGUACUUCAUAAAUUGAUUUAAUUGAUUUAAUUUUUAAAGGGCAAAUUUAUUUAUUUAAUUUUUUGUGUAAAAUUAUUAUCAUCAUAUCAAAGAUUAAAUUGCUUCUUUUGCACAUUCUUUUUUUUUUUCCCUUUCAUAAAUUGAUGUUUAGUAGUAGAAUAAAUUGUCUUUAGCUCGGCAAUUUAAUAAAUAAAUUUGACCUUUAAAAAUUAAAUAAAUUAAAUCAAUUUAUAAAAGUACCUAGCACCACACGGUCAAUUUUAUAAAAUUUAUAAGGGGUAAUUUUUGUCCUUUAAGAAGGAAGAACAACAAAUGAUAAUUUAAUUACAAAAUUCAUAAAAGGUUAAUUACAUGGUCUUUUACACUUCAGGGGUAAAAUUGACCUUUUAUGAAUUUUCUGUUACAUAUUAACGGAGUUUUAACGGAAUGGUGGGAAAAUGUUAUCAGUUUAAACGUUUGGUGGUAAAUUGAUAGUUUUACCAAACCGUGGUACUAACAUGAUGUGUCAGAAUACCUUUGGUGGGAAAAUGAUAAUAUCCCAAUAUAGAAAUAUUGAGUUAUUACUGUGAAAAAGUCCAAAGUUAUUGCUACAAUUUAUGAAAAAAAAAUUAUUGUUCGUAAAAAAUAUUGAAUUGCAGCUUAAAGACCGGAAUACCUCUUUGCGUGACAUAUUUACUAAGUUCAGUCCAUCACACAGAUAUUUGAUAUGGGGAUAGAUGAUCGAUGCCAAUAAAAAUAUAGAUGAUAGAAAAAUGAAUGGUGCUAGUUGGCAAGAUCAUCAUUUUAACCUAAGCUUUGUACUGGUAUCUUUAGCUACAUUUCAAUUUACCGAUACAAAACUGGCUACCAAACAUAUUUCCUUAUUUUUUGUUCUUAGAAAACGGAAAACAUUUGAGUGGAAAACAUUACCAAAGAGGCCCGUAAAUAUCUGGACUUGCUUCCUUUAUUUCGGUUACUUUGUUAUUCUUUUUUAAUUUCACUUUAUUUUGCAAAUAAUAAAAAAGUAGAUUCGAAAAAAUAAGAAAUACGUAUAAGAUUUUUUUAAUAAUAUUUAUUAAUUAUAAAAUUGUGCCUGGAAAUGAGAGUUGUAUCAUUAAAUUAUGAUCCAAAUGAGUAAUGGGUAUUGCAAAAAUACUAGUAGAUAAUGUUAAUAAUUACAGAUUUCUUGAAGGAGAAAGCCGUAAUUUCAUUGUUUUGUGUUACAAUAAUUGGUAUUCUUCUAAAUUAGUGGGUGUCAUCCAAUUAAAAUGAUAGAAUUUCUUAUGAAAAAAUAAAAGGUCUAGAGUUUGAAACUUGUUCACGUGGGUGAGGAGAGAUUGAAUUGUCGUUAUACUAAAUAACAAUAAGAAUAAAAAAAUAUUUUUCUAAACAAAACACAUCCACAAUAAAAACCACAAUAUUUAUUAAACAAAAGCAAAUAUGAAGUUUUCCUUAUUCGGGAACGUAGGUAGAGAAAUACACAAAUAGGAAAACCACAUUAAUUUGAAAUGUAAAUCCAAUAAAGAAACCAAGGACUCAAGGCUUUUUAAGAAACUCCAUAAUGUAAGUGUUAAAAGCAGAGCACACAACUUUGAAGCCUUGAAAUCCGGCGGCCUUAGCCAAGGUUUUGAAAUCUUGUUCGGUCAUCUCUCUCCCACCUGUAGUAGAAGCCAACAUGAUGCAGUCAAGUUGGAUCACAUGUUUGGAAGCAAGGCUUGUGUCUGGGAGUACUGGGAGAAUACAGUCAGCAACAAUCACUUUCCCAUCUUCUGGAAGUGCUUCGUAGCAAUUCUUCAAGAUCUUCACGCAGGCUUCUUCACUCCAAUUAUGACAUAUCCACUGUAAGUAACAGCACAAAAUGAAUUAAGAUUUUAAUCAAUAAAUUAAAACCCUGCUGGGAGGCCGAGAGUGGCAAAAACAAAUAACCUUCAUGAAAAUGGCAUCCCCUUUUGGAAUACUGACGAACAUGUCUCCCGCAACAUGCUCAAUACCUACGUCAAAUUCAACCAUGGAUUAAAAAAAUUGAUACAGGAUAUAGAAUAGGGAAAUUAUCACUUAUCCACUCAAGAUUUGAUCCGUGAUCGAAGCUAUUCAAAACCUUUUCAAAUUAUUCGACAGUCCACCCAAAGUAUUGCAAAGUGUAUCAAUUAAUUAAUUUUUCAGUUUGUCAGUAAUGCUGUUAGAAAUUUCUAGGGAAACUAAAUAAAAUGACCACUUUGUCCUUGAAGUGUCACCAAAAUUUAACAGUUAUUAACAGUUAGGUGGAUUGCUAAUAUACUUCACAAACCUUGGCCGACAGCUGAUAAUUUUAUAAGGUUAUAAAUAUUCGGGAGAUUGCUAAUUUUCCCUUACAGUAAUCAAUAUAUGCCAUUUAUUUUCCUGUUGUUUUUAUAAUAAUCAAUAAUUCCUCUAACAAUAUAAUUUUACAAUAUUACAUUUACUUUCAAAUACACUUUUAUUUAUAUUUAUUAUAAAUUAAAUAAAUAAUAUGAAUAUAAAUUAAAAUAAAAAAUUAAGUAUUAAAAAUAAGAAUAUACAUUUUGAUGUGACUAAAAAAUUGAAUGUGAUUGUAUUUUCCUUAUUUUUUAACAUGUCUAAAUCUUGGGAGGAAAAUUUUGCUAAUUUCCCUUUAAAAAAUAUAUUAGGGAAACAACAAUGAUCAAUAUACACACCCGGGUAAGCUGGAGCAUCCUGAAUUACAUGUGGUAAAUCGAAGUUAAUGCCUUUAAUUGAUGGAUACUUGGAGAUAAUCAUGUUAAGUGAGGCUCCAAUUCCACCACCAACGUCAACAACUGACUUGAGGCCUUCAAAGCCUUUGUAAUUUUCAAGAAAUUUCUUCAUGGUAAUGGUAGAAUGAGAAAACAUUCCAUUGUUGAAAAUCUUGUUGUAUCUUGGAUCUUUGCCAUGAUACUCGUAUGUAUUCAUCCCGUAGGCCAUGUUGAAUGGGAUGCCACCUUCAAGUACUGCGUCUUUUAAGUGGUACCUGCCCCAAACCACAUUAAUUUCCCGGGAAGCUAACAACAUUAAUCUGGAAAUGAAUAAUGCAUUAUCACUUAUCAAAAUUAUGUAAUCUAUUCUUAAUCAAGAUAGACAUAUAAAGCUUUGUCCAUCUCCCUAUUUUUUAAAAUAAAUUAAGAUAGACAUAUGAACCAGAGACUUGAUGAAGUGGUUUUCAAAUGGAUUAUUACGUGAAAAAAAAACCUUGAUAUUUAUAUGAAGUUUUGCGAAAAUUUGGUGGUUUGGAUUUUUUAUUUUUUAUAGAAAAAAAUUCAUGUGUAUUUUUUUUCGUAACAUUAAAGAAGAAUAAAAUUACAGGACGGACAAUUACCAGCUUUCCAUAACAAUCUUGUCUUGACUCACGAGACAAAGGUUAGAAAGUGAAACACCAUCUUCUUUUUGGGUAAGGAAUUUACAGACGGGUGCAAGGCCAUAAAGCCUCUCAACUCCGCCACCAGGGAGAGUGUGCAAAGAGCAGUUAAGAACUGAGAAGCUAGCCAAAAGACGCAAUAUGCGAUCGAGCAGGAUAUGGGCAUCUGGGUUCUUUGUGGGCAGCUGAGAAGCUAUUUGUUUUGGAGACAUGAAAGCACCUGGGCCAGCUUUAGCAAUGAGCUCUAAAAGAUCAAGCUCGAUAGCUGAUUUGAGAACCAUUGGCAAAACUGAGGCACUGGUUAGUUGCAUGGCAAAGAGUUUUGCUUCCUCGUCUGAGAUUUGAGUUGGAAUCAUCUGAGUUUCAGUACCCAUUUUGUUUUUGAGAGAGAGACGAGAGAACGAGUCUAGAGAAAAGGGCUAAUGGCACUGAUCAAUAGUAAGCUAGCUAAGUGGAGUUAUUUAUAUCACUAAGAGAAGGUUACUUUUAGUCUGUUUUUAUGUGCCCCUUUUAGCUUUGGCAAGUCAAAGAGAACGUGCCACUUCGGCCAAGGCCGAAGUGGUGGGCUGCUGCCGGCAGCGGUUCUAGCCCCCACAAAGGUAUUGUGGGGGCUAAAUGUUCUUUAUAUUUAAAAAUCAUUCUCCCUUGCGAAAUGCAAGUGGAAUAUGGACAUCCCUCUCCUGUGAGGGGUUAUUUAUCUGGGCAUGUACUUCAUAGAAUUCAAUGUAAUAAUGUAAGUCCCAAUCAUGUAUAUCUGAUUGUAAAUAUCAGUGUAAUAUCUCUGCUAUAAUAGCAGUUGUUGUAAAUAUCUGUGUAAUGCAGUAAUCUGAUGAUUAAUCAGUAUUCAAAAAAAAAAAAGUCAAAGAGAACGUCAUAUAAUUACAAAGAGGGGAAAUGCUUGAAAUCUGGAGUUUUUUUUUAUUACAUAAGACUAUUGUUCAAAUUACAACUCAUAUUACAUGAGAUUGUAACUGAUAUUUACAAAUCAUACUAUUACUGGGACCAACUUACAUCAAUACUAAUGAAGUACUGCCCAGAUUUUAACUCUCACAAAUAUUCGAGGGAUAUAUAUCUACUACUCACACUUGGGUAAGAGAAAAGACUGCAUUCACUUAAAUUUAAUUGAAGAAGGAAAUACCCCCACAAUGCAUUUGUGGGGGUUCGAACUGCUGCCCUCCAAGUUGGAGGGCAGCAGCCCUAACCACUCGACCCGAGUGGCUGCUUGAAAUCUGGAGUUACUUAUGCAAAAGGAGCACUCAGAUUUAAACAUAGAAAAUAAAAUAUUAUUCGUGGAGAUUAUUAUCAUAGCAUACAACACGUACGACAGCACUUGCCAUACUAAAGUGCUAUCACUUCUGAUAUGAUAAUAUUUUUUUUGUAGUCAAAUAUUUUUUUUUAACAAAAUUAAGAGUUUUUUACUAGACCUGCAAAAACAGCAUGAAAUACUCUUCAAAGUUACAAGGGAAAAGAAGAAGUGAAUGAUUACAACAGCAUGUGGACUAGUUAGUCUUAUUAUGAAUUAUAUUUUUUAUAGGGUUGUGAUGCAGUUUAACUAUGAAGAUUUGAUUCAAUAAAUUUAUGCUAUUCAAAGUUGAUUUUUCAUGUUGGGAGUUCUUUUUAAUAUUUGUCCAAUAUUUAAUUAAUUUGAGCAGUCUAAUAAAUGUGUUUUUUUGCUUAUGCGAUGAAUGUCAUGAACUACGAUGUAGACGAAAAUGUGCCAUAAAUCCUGAUUCCCGAUCGAUUUAUUAUGCACUUAAUCUAUAACUACCAUGGUUCCUAAUGAAUUGCACUAUUUUAAAUUCACAAAGAGUGCCGAAGUAUCUUUAAUAAUGCUGGAGAAUGAUUAUAAAAACAAUUAGUAUUUUUAAUUGUCAACAUCUAUAGCGGUAAUUAAAAAACUUUAGUUGCAUAAACAUAUAUAGGAAUUAAAUUGGAAUACUUAUACUAAAAUCAGAUGUACAAACUGAUUUUGCUUUAAAACUUUUCUCAUUCAAUCUUCUUUAAUCGACUUUUCAAAAAAAAAAAAAAAUUAUUUUAUCUAUUAGUUCGUAAAAAUCUAGGAUUAAUUAAUUUUGAUAAUUAAUAAAUUAAACAAUCCACAUGAAAACGAUAAUUUUCUCAUCACGUUAUGAAUGUAUUGUAUGUAUGUAUAUGCAAAAUUCAAUAAAAUAAUUCUUCGAUACAUUCUUUAUUAAUGAGAAAUGACGCUUCUAAUCUUCUUUAUGAAAUUUGUUUUAAAAAAGAGUAUAUUGAAAGCAGCCAGGGAGGCUAGGCGCUGGUUAAUUUGAGUCCAAUGAUUUUCAAAGAUUGACUGUUCAAGUUUACUAAAUUGAAUUGAAUUGAAUUGAAUUGAAUUGAACUGAACUGUGAAGUGUACUUAAUUGGAAAAGUACUUGUAUAUGGUUUGGAUUAAAUUUCUCAUGAAAUCACGAGGACAUGUCAAUUUCCUACUCGAUGAAAAUUACUCCUGCCAUUGAUGACCAAGAAACUGCGUAAACAAAUAUAACUCGUGUACUAGAAUCAAAAUUAUUGGCCAUUCAAAUAUGCUAGCCAAUUUGUUAAUAACUUUCCCACACCAACCAGGGCUAUCUUAAUGUCGAAAAUCAGCAAAUAAGGAUUAAAUUCAGUACAAUACUUUUGACAUUUAUUCUCAAUUUUCUCUAGAGAUUCUCUUCAUGCAUUAUAAUUAGGGAUGGCAAUGGGGAGGGGAGGGGAGGGGAGGGGACCAAUCUCCCCGUACUCAUCCCCGAUAUUUUACGUAUGUCCCCAUCUCCUUCCCGUCCCGUAAGAAUUGCUUGAGAGAAUCCUCAUUCUCUCCCAAAAUAAUAACAGGGGAUCCCCGAGAGUUCUCGAUCACCAAAUAACUAAUACAUUUUUUUUUUUCGAUUUUGAGUUAAUUAUAUUAAAAUAAAAUUCAAGUAAAAGUAAAGUUCGAAAUAUAUCUUACAUUAACAUUGAUCCAUUACAAAAGUCACAUGCAAAAUAUAAAUUAUCAAAAUAAUUAUCUUUGUCAAUCUUUAUAAUCCUACAAUAAAAAGAAAAAGAAUUUACUUUUAUAUCGACAAUAAAAUAAAUGAAAUAAAUGUAGAUACUUAAUUAAUAUUUUUAAUAAAACAAAAUUAAAAUUAAAACAAAAUUUUUGGGCUAAUAGAAUCUACUCGGCCUUUUUAAUGUCUUAAAUAAAAAUUUAAGACUUUAAUUAGUUAAUUAGACCUAAAAAUUUAAUAAUAUAAAUAUUUUGAUAUUUGUUAUUUUUACCAAUAUUUAUAAUUUUAUAAUAUAAUACAAUUUUUAUUAUUUAUUUACUAGUAAUUUUAAAAAUUAAAAUUAAAAUUAAAAAUUAAAAUGGGGGAAAUGGGGAGGGGAUGGGGAUUCCACCUCAUCCCCGUCCCUUUCCCGAAUAAGAAAAUAGGUAAAAAAAUUUCUCCGUUCCUUCUCCGAAUAAAAAAUCGGGUAUAAAAUUAUUCUCGUACCCUCCCCGAAUGAGAAAAUCCCCGAGAGUACCCGUCCCCAUGGGAAUUUUUGCCGUCUCUAAUUAUAAUAUUCUUUUUCAUUUUGCGCGCAUUCUUUUCCUGCGUUAGAAAAAUUCUUCUCCCGGUGGCGGUGGACUUUUCAGCCUUUUCCUGCGUCAGAAAAAUUCUUCUCCCGAUGGCGGUGGACUUUUCAUUCUUUUCCUGCGUCAGACAAAUUCUUCUCCCGGUGGCGAUGGACUUUUCAUCUCUCUCUAAAUAAAUUUACAAAUGAAUUUGUUAUCUUUGAGUUUAAAUAAAAUUUUGAUUUGAACUUUUUGUCUUGUGUGGUACAAAUGACAAAUGACUGGGUGUGGAAAUGGUAAUCAGAGUAGUAUCUCCAUAAAAUGUAAAUGUUAACUAAGUAAUAAUUUUUAUAAAAAUUACCUGAUCAAAUGUGUUCGAUAAUAUUACUUGUGAAGUAUAAAAGAAAAAGAUCCUAUGACACAGUUCCUAUGAUUAAGCAAUUAGCAAGACAUUGAGGCAAGAAUAAGAAUAAUAGUUAAAAGGAGUGAUUCAGUUAACGUCAAAUUACGGAACGCAAACGUGAACUUUAAAAAAAUAAAUGAAUAUAAGUUCUAGAAAGAAUGAAAUAUUAUUGAUAAAAGUCUGAAUGACAAAGUUAGGAUUUUAAAGUCUUUUUGUACUGACCUUAAAUAUUACAAAUUUAUCAAAACAAACAAACUUGAAAAAAUCUUAUAUAAUAAAAUUCUCCUAAUUGAAAUAAGAAAAAUAAAACAAACGGCAUUUAAAUGCUAAAAGCAAUAGGAAUUAAACUUACAAAACGACAACAAAAGAAAGGGAAUUUCCAGCUGAAACAUAGAGCAAAUAUUGGCAUAGCUAGGUUAGAUUCAUCUUAAUGUAGAUUUCGAAAUGAUAUAUUAUACGGCCCAAACAAACAUUUGUAGGUCCAGUUGUGAGAAAAGUAUCAUACACAUUCUACAUAACUAUCAUACAUCAGUCCCCUUCACUUCAAAGAGAAAUUGUCCUCGAGUUAUUCCAAUAAAACUCGUUGUCAUUUAGAUGAUACUCAAAUAGAUCAAACACGUUGAAUGUAUUGGAUUUUUUCCAAUUGCUCUAUAAAUGUAACCUUAAUUUUAAUCAUAAGAAUCAAUAAGUUUUGCAUAUCAUUACAUACAUUUGCUUUGAACUAUGAAAAAAAUAAUAUUAUUUUUAUGUAUGCUUUUCAUAUGAAAACUAAUUUCAAAUUCUAAUUUCAUAACCAAAACUUUUAACAUUUCAACCUAUAUAUAUAUAUUGUCAUGAUGUUUAUGUUGAAAACACAUUGUAGGUUUGGUAAUAUUUUAAACAUAUUUCCUCGAUUAUUUCAUUAUGUUGUUAAAUCAGAUCUUUUUAAUUUGUAUUUUCAUAAAUUUGUAUUUUAUUCUUGUUCAUAGAGCAACGAAAAUGAGAACUGCAGUCCUUGUUUGCCAUAAACUUACAUGUUGUUCUUGUCCGUAGAGAAGAGAAAAAUAAAACUGCAUUCUUGUUUGAAGAAUAUUAGUUAGUUUAAGAAUUAAUGAAUUAUGUUAUGUUAUGCCCUUGUGGUUAAAGCAAACUCAGUACCCACAAGAAAUUAAUUAAUUAACAAUUAAGAUGGAAACUGAUAUUAUAUAUAUUUUACUUCCUUUAUUUUUUAUCAAUUGUACAUAUGCAGAAGAAAAGUAAGACACGUUUAAGUAUUUAUUAAACGCAAUACAUGCCUAAUCAAUUUAUUAAACUCACUCUAAAAAAAUAAAAGGUGAUGAAAAUUUUUAUUUAUUUUGCUCUUUAAAUAAUAAGAUAACACUUUUAUAAUAAAAUUUAUUAAACACGUGUAUUUUACUUUUCAAACGUACAACUAUCACAAUAACAUAAUUUACCAAAUGCCUAACUAUAUUUUCACUUAGCAACCUAUUUUAUCAGCAAAAUAAAAGUAACUAAUUUCAUCAACCAUUACAAUCCCAAACUGGCCUUUUAGGCAUGUAUAUGGGAGAAAGUAUUUGACUAUGCUAUUGAAUUUGUUACUUUGAAAUUUAUUUCGAUUUUCUGUGAUGCUAGUUCAUUGAUGCUAGUGAUUUUGUGUUGAAGUGAAUUUAUGUCCACAAAAAUACAUGUUGGGAAAGGGACUACCGCAAGCAAUUGUAAAUUAAGUGGAAAUAAAAUUUUUUUCUCUUUGUGUGAUUAAAAUAGGAUGUGCACCAUAAAUGAAUAGGCAAAAUAAACCAAUAAAUUCAAAGCAAAAACCAACCACAAGAGACAUAUAUUUUUACGUGGAAAACCCAAAGCGGGAAAAACCUCAGACCGUAGUCCGAUAUAAUCUUCCACUAUAUUAAUGGGAUUACAGCACAAAUGAAAUGACCCGCCCCGAAUUCCCAGGACGAGUCUAUCUAAUCUCGUCUAAUCGAAUUAAUAAUAAUUCUGAUAUCUAAGAAUUUUAUCAAAAAAUCGACAGAGUCUCCCAUAUAAAUAUAACAUUCCCAAACCUGCAAUUUACAAAACAAUACUCCCAAAAAUAAUUCAAUAACCAACCAUCCUUCAUAACCAACUUCUCAAGUCAACAUACCAAAUAUCACCCAAAUCAUUCUAAUAUUAAAAUACAAUGGUUAUCCUUAAUUACAAAAUAUAACAAUAAAUACAAUUCGCAAUAUCCCAAAUAUCAAAAUAUUAAAUCUACGGUUCCUAGCACCAUCACGUGGCACAAUUUCAAAUCUAACUAUCGUUGUUGGGUCGACUGAUGUAUCUGUAAAUCUCCUGUGGAGGGGGGGGGGGGAAUAUAAUAAAACCGAGGUGAGUAUAAAACUCAGUGAGUGGAUAAUAGUUUUUGAAAAAUAAAUUUACUUAAAAAUAAUUUAAUUCUUCUCUAAACAAUCUCAUCAAAAUUUCAUAAGACUUUAAAGAAACUUAUUUAAUUUAAAUCAUACACUUGAAUAACAAUAUUUUAUAAAUUUGCAUAAAAUCAAUGAAAUCAUAAUACUUAUAAUAUCAAAUACUGAAUACCAAAAAUUAUCAUCAAACAAGUACCCAGGGGAAUAAUCUCAUCAUAUCUGGACCUCGACGGACGGGCAAUCAGGGAACCAUCAUGCCCCGGAGCUACAACGGAUAGACGAGGAAAUGUCAUCUCAUAUCUCAUGUAUCUCAGCAUAUGUAUCUUUGUAAUCAUCAUACUGUAUGCAUAAGCCCCCAAAAGGCAAAAGCGCCCAAACACACAACCCAAAGCCUCUAUGUGUGUUCAGAUGGGCCCCAAAGGCCUUUAUCUCAUCUCAUCUGUAUCUCUGUAUUCAUCUCAUAUUAUCUGUAUCUCUGUAUCUGGGGGAGAAGGGUACUGUCCAAUAAUUUUCCAAACAACAUUUUAUACACAUGUACAUCAACAUAUAAUCACAUAUGAAAUCUCAUUUUUUUUUUAUUCAACAUAUCUCAAAAUACACUCAAUUCUAAUAUCAUGCAUUUACUCAAAAAUGAUAAUAAAAUCAUUAAUCAAACUCAUUCUUAAUAACAAUAAAUAUCAACACAGAUAAAAAUCAAUUUUCUAGAAAAUCAUUUAAUCGAACAUCGAAAACAUGUUGUACUGUAUGGUAAAAUCAGAAUAUACUAUGAAAAUAUGUUUUGUAUAUUCCACUUAUAGUAACAAAGUCCAAACUCGGUAUCAAUAACGUCCGCGGGUUGAUUCUCGUUCGCAGAUCCUCCUAAUCAAGGAAACGACAUAAUCAUUCUCCGUAAAUUUGAAAUACAACUAAUUUUACAUAAUAAUUCUCGAAACGAAUAUCUAUCCACAAUAAACUAUUCCCGCAUGCACAAAAUUACCAAAAUACCCCCAACAUCAUUAUUUUACCAAAUUAUCCUCAGAAUCUUCAAUUACUAAAUUGUCCUCAAUUCAGAUCACGAAAAUAACUACAAUGUCAGAAAUUACGAAAUUACCCUUGAAGCGUAAAAUUACCAAAAUGCCCUUAACGACUUAAAUUACUGAAUUACCCUCGAAAUCUCAAAUUACCUCACUGCCCUAACCAAAGAUUACCAAAUUAUCCAUUGAUUUCACAAAUUACAAAUUCACCCUAAAGUUUUAUGAAAUUACCGAAUUGCCCCUGCCGGUCAACGGUGACCGGACUUCAGUCAACAUUGACGGGAAGCUUAGGUCUGAUAGUUCAGACCUUGCUGAGUCCAACGGUGCCGACGGUGACCUACCACGCGCGGCGAUGGCGGUGGAUCGUGCUCCCAAAGCCGUUUGCUUUCCGGCGGUCGUUCAUGGCCAAAACGGAGGUUUCAGGUGCCGGGGUUAGUCGGAAAUGAAAGCUGGUGACGUCGGGAGUCGAACCCAACCGGUGGUGCAACCUAAUUCCGGCUAGAUUGACGGUGAAGAAAAAGGGUUGAGCCGCGGCUUUCAAGCUUAGAUCGCCGGCAUUCUGGCUGAUUUCCGGUGACUAUGACAGCGGGGAUAUGACCGGCGUCGCUCAAGCUUCAGAUCGGUACCAAGAUCGGCCGGUGAGGUGGCCGGAAUCGGCGGUUGGAGCCGGGUGAAGGACGCGGGUCGGAUGUGGGCUGAACCGGUCAAUUACUCUCUCUCUCCUUCUCUCUCACGUGUAAUUAAAUUAAAUUAAAAACACACAAUGCAAUUAAAUUAAAAACACACAAUGUAAUUGCACAACAAUUUUACACAUACACAAUUCAAUUCAACAACCCAAUAUAAAAAAUAAAAAAACUCAUAUCUUAUACAAAUAAAAACACAAUACAAUUAAAUUAAAAAUACACAAUAUGUGAUGUUAUGAGAAUGUGUUGUGUGCGUGUGUUAACUUGUAUUAAUAUUUUUUUUUUAAAUAAGGUUGGGUCGGCAUUAAACCCGACUCUGAUCCAAAAUUUAUUCAAAUCUUAAAAUUUUAGCCCUAACCCAAUCCUAAACUUAAAAAUUCGGGUCAAAAUCUUCCUAUCACCCAAUUAAAAAUUGAAUUUAUUAUUCCCUUCUACUGACUUUUUUCUCUCUCUCUUGCGGCUUUUCUUCCACCAAAAGUUACUGCCGCUAUUUUUCACACACAAUUCCAUUAGGGCAGCGCUGCCUUUGAUAGCCAAAUUACAUGGCAAAUUUCAUCCAAAUCCAAAGCUUUGAAAUAAUUACAAACCAAACAAAUUUAUUUAGACUUUGAGUUUUUGGGCCCCCAAAUGAGAUGGACCCAACAAUACAAUUGAGAUUUGUUAAGUUUUGCAAAAUCCAUUAUUAGCAAUCUACUGUUCAUAUUUGUUUAUAAUUAUUGUAAAUAUAAAAUAAGUCAGUGAUAUCAACAAAAGCUUUUAGUGAUUUUAAAACUUGAAGAGAAACAAAACCAAGAAAAUUGCUAAACAACCUGCUUACUUGCUUGUUGUAUAAUUGAUCAAAAUAUAAAUAAGAGAAAACCGUUUCUUGAUCAAAGAAGCAUGUGCAAAGAUAGUUCUAAUUAUCUGAAAAUAACCAUACGAUGCCAUUGUUGCAGUUCAUACCUGUUUGGGUUGGAUUUUUCUGGUAGUGUUUCAAAAUAUAGUCGAUCCUAAUAUACUCAGAACUUAUGUUGUUGAGCUGACCUCAUAAGUACAACCUGGAGUCUAUGUUGGCGACCUGAUUUAUAAGUACGGCCUAAGAUCUAUGUGAAUGACCUAGUUUAAGAAUACAACCUCAACGCUUUAUGAGCGACUAAGAAAUUCAUCUGUUUGAUAUGAAAGUGAAGUAAUUCAACCUUAAAAUUCUCUUGUCCGACCUGAGAAUUAGUUUGACAUAGAAAAUUGCUAGUUAAGAGAACGUGGCCUAAUUUAUAGGGAAGUUGUGUGCCACGAUCUAUUUAAACCACCUCCAACUGACAACCAUUUGCAACUGCUGAAGAAAGCGGGUUGAAGUUAAGGAGGUAACCGUACACGACCAAGAGUCUAUUUAAACUGAAGAGUGCAUCAGGUGAGAGGGUGAGCAAAAUCAACCAAAGCUUCUACAAGAUGUUCAGCCCCUCUACCGGAAAAUUACUUGACUUUAAUUCAUUCAUAAUUCUUCAUUCUCAUUUUUCUCCUUUUAUACAUAAUUUCUGACUUAAGCAUCGGAGGGUCUACGCUGGAACCCCACCGGCGUGUCCUAACCGUGUUUUCUGGUUGGCAGAUAUAGAAAGUUGCAAUCAGACUUGCGUUUGAGCUUGGAUUCACACUGUAAUUCCCGAAAAGAAACAAAUUCAGCCGUUGAGCUCGUUUUUCGGCAUCAACAAUACCUUUGGGUGUAUUGAUACGCUAGGAUGGGGGAGCCAAUUUCGGUAGUCUUUUGUAAAAUUUCAAUAAUAAUGUUAAAAAAAUCUAACUGAACCCUUAUAUCAUUAUAUAUCAUCAUAUUUUAUUAUAGAUCAACAUAAAAUUUUGCAGGUACACGAAAUCUGUAGAAAGAGAAUGUGAGCUAUAUUAUUUCUUAUGGAGUUUCUAUUUUCAAUUAGUUCUUCCUUGGAGCACCAACUCUUAUUUUUUAGAUACUUUUAAAAAUUUGAAAGUUGUCCCGAUCCCCAUUCCGUUGAAUAAUAAAAGAAAACAAUUUCUUUUAUUAUAUUUAUAUAAAACAAGCUUUUUAAAAAUUGGAUUUCGAGUUUUACAAAAUAAGUUGUCAGUUAUAAGUUCUGUAUAAAUAAUACAAUAUGAAUAAAACUAUAAUUUUCAUCCACACUAAAAUGAGAAAAAAAAAGAAAGUCAAGACAAAAUUGAGAGUGUAGAUUGUCAUUUAAAGAGCACAGGAAGUUGAAGGUAAUUGAAAUUGAAAAUGAUUCUCAUUGGAUGAGCAAGAGAUUUAAAUUAAAUUUCUGAAAAGUUUGCGUUGUAAACGAAUUUUGAUCACACGGGGUUUCGAGAAUAAGAAUGGAGGAUUAGUCAUGAAAUAAAAGUGGUGUUGUUAGAAAUAGUGAUAUCUUUAAAUAUUUUUAAUGGUAUAUUUUAGGAAAAAAAAGGUUUUACAAGGAGUUUUUAAGGGUGUCAAUAAUCCAACUUUAUUUUAAUAAAUUUAAUGGAAGUUAAAUUAACUAAUAAUUGUGAAUUUUCAAUUAUGAAUAGUGUAUUGUUCCUGCUUGUUGUGAAUUGUCAAUUAUGAAUAGCGUAUAGGCUGAGAGCAUUUGCGAAGCAGGAGUUCUCUCUACCUCUUUCAAAACAGAUAGUUCACUUUUCUUCACCAAAAGCAUAUCCAACUUGUUGUUCUAAUCAGUUGUAAAUGCAUUCUUACGUUAAUAAUAAUUCAUUGUAUUGCACUGGCAAAGCUUCCUUGAGGACAGUGCUCUAAAAUCUUAGCACACGCCUUCGCGCUUUGGGGAGAUCUUGGGUUCAUCUUCUGCACAUGAUGGGGAGAGGGGAUUUGAUCUCAACAGUACUCGGAUCAUAACGGAGGAAGAGAAGAUUCAAGGGUUACUAAUUCUCUGUUUUGUCGCUAGUUUUGCAACUUUUUUUUCACUGCUCCUUGAGUAAUCCGAGUGUCCUCUGCACAGUUUGGGUACUCCAGAUCAACAGCAAACAAUAAUAACAUAAAAGCGAGUAAAGAGAAUAACACAGGAGAUUUACGUGGUUUGGCUUCGUUAGGCCUACAUCCGCUAGGAUAAACACACUCGUGCCGAGUUUAUUGAUCACUAAGGAUUUUACAAUGGAAAUACACUCAUUCUUAGAAGUUAUUGAGCUUACAAUUUCUCCCUCCCCGAAAACUAUUAUGUGUUUCCUAAACCCAACCACCAUGGUUCGCAGUUGCACCUUGGCUUGUCCCCUUGGUUCCUGGCCGUACCUUGGCCUUCCUCCUGGCUGCCCUUUUGGCUUGCUUCCUUGGCUGCCCCUUUGGUUGCCUCCCUUCGGCCUGCCUGUUUUGCCUCUUACUGAAUUUUGUUGGCUUUUGUAGAGUAAUUCCCUCAAAUGAUUUAAGUACCUAAAUAGCUACCAUAGCGGUUAUCUAUCAUCAUGGUUAGUUAUCCAACCAUUAAGUGCUAUACAUAGUUAUUUAAUCAUCAUAGGUCGUUACAUCCACGUCACAGAGCUUAAAUAUGGUGCCACGUAAAUUAAAACUCCAACACCAAAUAUCUGGUAUUGAACAAGCUUUUUUAAUAUCUGGUGUUGAACAACUUAAUUCAAAAUAUACAACUGAAUUUUGAUGUUGAAUUCUGUUUCGCAAGCUAGUUUUGUCUCUUUCAACUCUAAUUCUCAAGUCGGGUUUUAUUAAGAAUAUUAUAAUUGGUUGCGUUGCCUUGUACCUUUUAUUUUAGUUGAAGUUUGAUUCUUGCAUUCUGCAUUUCCUACUUUGGUAUGCUACGGCAUUUGGUUUUCCCAAAUCUAUUAUCUAGAUGUUUCUCUACACUAUUUGUUUUCACUCUUAUCUUAUUUGCUGAUAUGUCUGCUUUCAGAAUGGAAUGCAUUCUCUUUGUCCAGCUGUGUGGUCCAAGCAUAGAAGAUGGCUCUUAAUGUCCAUGCUUUGUCUGAAUCCUUAGCUUGUGUAAGUUCGAAGCCUCUCUAUGGUUAAAAACACAUGGUGAUUGAUUUUUGUGCCAUUUAUUGACUGAUAUUCAGGUUUUGCCACUAAUAGUUGAUAGUCUUUUCCUUAAUUGAUAGUUGAUGGGAAUUUCUGACAAUGUUGAUAACUGUUUAUCUUGCCUUUCUAUAGUUGUUCUAACCUACAUUAAUAAGAACCAGAUACCAGCCGAUCAGCAUGAUAGAAAUUCCCCCCCCCCCCCCACCUGUCUCCCAUUUUAUCCUAGUUUUCUUUGAUGCUGGAGUAUAUUUUAUCCCUCUCUCUUUAUAUAUGUAUAGAUAUAUACUUCACUUUGUUUGUUUCAUUGGCACUUCCUUCUAUGUCAUAGUACUUGCACGAUACUGUCAUUAGUUAAUCAUUAUACAUCUAAUUUAUUUAAGUUUUGAGCUUCUGAGGUGCCUUGAAAGGCUUAUUGAAUAGUGAGAACUGAAAGGAGUCAAAUGAAUAAUGCCUGUUAUUUUUCUGAUACCAUGCCGAACUGAAAACUCUUAACGUUGGCCACCUCCUAAAAAAAUGUAAGAAAAUAUGUCGUAAUGGAAAUCAUUUAUUCUUUAAGCACUCUACUUGGGAUUUGUUAGCGUUUGGGGUACCAUAAAAUUGGAUAUGUAGUUGGAAUUUGAAUAGAAAUCUUUCUCGAGUAUUCAAGGUGUUUGAAUUCUCUGAAGAGGGUGAUUGAAAUGUUUGAUCGAAGUAGUGUAGCAUAGAAUACAAUUAUAAGUAGUCUGUAUAUUUAAGUAAUCUAAUUGAAGGAAACUACAUGAAAGCACGCCAUAUUCCUUUGGAACUAGAACUUAUUUCUGCCUAUUAAGGUGAAGUUUCUAACUGAGCCUUCUCCUUCACUUCUCCCCACUACAAGAAAAAUGACCUAUUAUGAUAGGUAAAAACUGUCAUCUUAGGGGGUAGAUGACGGUUAUCCUUACUGUCAUUAUAGCCAGCGUCAAGAAAAGAUGACAGAUAAAAUCGCGUCACAAGUUGUGAUAGAUUUUACCUAUCAUAAUUAUGUCAUACUACUUAGAAGAGGGAAAUUAUUUUUUUAUUUUAUAUUUUCAUUUUUUUAGAAAUUUUUGGAUUGUAUUUUUUUUUGGGAUAUCAAUUGUGUGUAUGACUAGUAUUUUCUAUCACAUUUUUUUUGAAAAAUUGAUUAUUUAUUUUAUUUAUUAAUUUAAAAUAAAAAUUAUGAAAUUUAAAAAUUUAAAUUAUUAAAAUUAUUAAAAUUAUUAAAAUUAUUAAAAUUAUAUGAAAGAAAAUAAAUUACUAAAUGCAAUUAAAUCCAAAACUAAUGAACUAAAUUAGUGAACUUUAUUAACCAUAAAAAUAUCCAAAGUACAUUACAUUAGUUAAUCCAUAUUCCAAAGUCGAGCCAAUAGACAACAAAGGCCAAUCCAAAACCAAGCAAAGUACUCCGCAUUCAGCAACAUCCAGCAACAAACCUACACAAAAUGUAGUCUUCCAGCAACAAAAUUGCAAAAUCUAGUCUUCCAGCAGCAAAAUCCAGCAGCCCCAAAGCCAAGACAUGAAAAUUCAUCCAGCAUCAGACCUAUGCAAAAUGUAGUACUCUGGCUAUUCAAUCCACUAACUAAUUAAUUAAUUAAUCAAGCAAACUAACUUAUGUAAUUACACUGAAAUGGACGUGGCACACCAGAUUAGCAACAAUGACAAGUGAGGCAGCAGUUAAAGCCCAAACAGCAAGAAAGCCACAAGCCACACCUUUAAGUUCUUUUGAUCUUUUGUAGCUGCUACUAAUAAUAAUAAUAAUAAUAAUAAUAAUAAUAAUAAUAAUAAUAAUAAAACCAUCAUAUUAAUUUAUACAAGUCCCAAUAUAAGUAUAUAACUAAACAUAGGGUUCAAGAGUUCCACGUGUUAAAAGUUACAAUCAUAGAGACAUUUCCAUAAUGGAAAAACGAAGAUAAAGCUCAUGAAAAGUAAAUAUACCUAUUUAGUAAUUUAACAACCUCAUAAACCAAUCAUGGAGACAUUUCCAUCGGCCCGCAAGUAAUCAAUCAUAGCCUUCAGAUUAUCUUUCUGACAAACAAGCCAUCAACUUUGGAUGGACCUUAAUUACAAGAAUAAAGUCCAACAAGAUAGGUAAUUGAUCUCAUGAGCAAGAUUAAAUACAACACCUCAUCAAGCUUUGCCAUGAAUUGUAUCAGCUUUGCUUUGUGAAUGAAUAUAAUAAGCUUUAUAUUCCUUCGCUCCUCAUAGGUAGAAAUGGCCUGCAACAAUUAAAGAGCCAAGAUUCAUUCAUGCUUUUUAUCAAACACUUGGAGGGAAUACAAAAAUAGUGACUAUAUCCCCAAUUCGAAGGUAGUGAGCAUACGGCUACAUGCAAGUAUAUAUCAAUAUGUAUAUAUCUUCUAGGAAUUCUCUGCCUUGGAGUUGAAACAAUUUGUGGUGCUAGCAAAGCUAUGUUGUUAAUUGGUAUAAAUUUUUGAAUGGUACAAAAGGCUUGAGAUUCAAACCAUGCUCAUAUGAGUGCGGAGAGUGGAAAUUGAGUAGAAACCACAAUACUAUUGAUAUUCUUAGAGGAUCUUUCCAUGUGACAUUCAUUCAAAAUUGUAACUAAGAGCAAAAUGUUUAACGAUUUUUAAUGUAUUGUACACAUAUGUAUCAAUCAAUAGCUUGUAAGAUCGAAAAAUUGAUAACAUUCCCUCAAGACAAAUGAAAAUGGAAAUGAACUAGUCAAUACCUGCAUUACCCAAAAGAGAAACAAGGGAUGGGGAACUCUGAUGUAAUAAUAAAUUAUCUGCUCGGUGCAAAAACAGCCACUAGAAACACACAUUGGUUGGAUGAUAUUGACAUUAUUUCCAACACACACAAUAGAAACAAUACCAAUUGCCCACCAAGUGCAUGACUCAAUGUGCGCCCAGACCUGACACCACUUCCUGCACAUGCGACUCGGCCCACAAUCACCACUAAUUUCAACGAAUUAGUGAAUUUAACCAAUGAAAUUGAAAAUAAAAGACUUUGCAUCACAGUGAACGAAUUUGAGAAUUAUCUAUAUAUAUAGUUCCAUGCAUCCACAAAAAAGUGAAAAAAAAAAUUAAUUAUUAGAAAACCCCAAUGAUAAAGCAGCCUAGACAAUAUCCCAACACCCAUCACGAUUAAAUUGGCAAGGAUCUUUACAGCCUAAAUCAAAUUAAUUUAACAAUAAAACUAUAAUAAUUAAAUUCCAAAAAAAUUAAAUAAAUGUUUAAAAUUCCAUAAAUAAAGAAACAUAGAAGACCAAUCAAAUAGAUCCAAAUUUAACAAGAGCACACCUAGGAUUUUCAAGUUUUACACGUACAGGGUUCAAAUUUGACAAGAAAACAUCUAGGUUUUACAAGAUUUAGGUGUGUAGGGUUCGAAUUUGACAAAAACACAUCUAGGGUUUUUAAGUUUACAUAUAUAGGGUUCGAGUUUGACAAGAACAUUAAAAUUGAAAUGGAACACAACACUAGAAAUAUUAUUUACCUGUAUUGAUCGAACGGUUACAAUAGUGGGUGAGCGUGGGCUCUCAGUUAGGGUAUUGAAAUUCAAUAGUAAUAGCACAUGCGUUUGGUGGGUAUUCCAUAUAGUUCUCGGUGAGAGCCAAAAUUGAUAGUCAAAUACAAGAGAAUGGCGGCAAUGGUUCAGUGCCCAUGCAAGGAUUUCGGGUGAAAAGGGCUUUGUGAGUGUGAGAUUGACGAGAGUGACUGAGCGAGAGACGAGAGUGAGUGAGAGUGCCGACACUUAGGGAAAAAAAAUUCGAUUAGUGAAAACUGAAGAGGGUUUUGUUUUUAUUUAGUUCAAUCUAAACGGUGUCGUUUCUUGUCCAAAGAGAAACUUUUAAUCCAAACGGUACCGUUUAUUCUUUAUUUAUUUUUUUCAUUCAUUUUAAAAUUUUCAGUCAACCUUGUGAAAUAAAGUCAAAAUAAAAAAGCUACUUGAUGAUCUAAAUUAUAUCACAAACUUGUCAUUACUUCUUGAUAACCAAAUAAUUUAUCAUCAGUCUAUCAUAAGUGCUUGAUAGAUGAAAUUUCUAUCACAAGUAUGUCAUAAAUGAAUGAUAGAAAAAAAAUUUAUCAUCCAUCUACCGUAGUAGCUCUGCAGACCAAAAACUGUCACACAGAGGACUGUCAUGGUAGGUCAUUUUUCUUGUAGUGCCCUCACUCUGUUCGCAGUCAUUUGUGGAUCUGCAAUGUCCUAAUGGGCAGUUUAUUUAUGUAUCUGGGGAGGGUCUAAAUGCUAGCGCUUUCCUACCUCUUUGUGGGGGCCUUCUUCAGGCUCAGGGCCAAUAUCCAGGGGAAAUGAGGUGCAGCUUCUCAUGCAAGGUUAGAUUGUAAAGUGGGAAUGGAUGGUAGCAAAAACAAAUGGAGUGGAUUAGGUUUCAUUAGCUUUUGAAAGCGAUUUUAUGUUUAUAAAUUUCAAAUUUGUCUUGGUGGCCUUGAUUUAUGGGAACUAAACUCUUUACUGUCUAAAAUUUCAACAGAAUAAGUGGGGAACACGUAUCACCCCAAUGGUACAAUGGCCUGACAAAUCGUUUACAUUGGGUCUUUCACAAGCUUUGGCUUGGCAGAGAUCUGGUCUCAUGGUGAGGCCGACCAUUCAAUUCAGGUAGGAUUUAUAUGCGUAACUUGUGAAAAUCUUUAUUCUUUUAUUAUUUUGUUAUCAUCAUUGAUGUUUGUAGUAAUUAGCAGACCUGUCCUUGUGUCCUUGGCGCUUUGCUUCGUGAGUUACUCAUUAGCACAGAGGAGUUCAAAAGCACAUCUUUAUUGUCAAAUGUCAUUUGAAAUGUUUCUAUUCGAGGCAUACUUUUUCCCUGCUUUUGUUUUAUUAAUUACAUUGUAUUGCCUUGCCUGCUACUUGUCAAGGAAGCUUAUGUGAGCCAAAUAGCCAGCAAAGCAGAGGAUUACAACAACAGCAGCUCACAGCUACAAGUUGAUGAUUUGGCAUGCCAGCUAGCACCUGGUGGUUAUAUAAUUUCUUGUACUCGUGACUGUUAGUUACAGUUAGUUAAUAAGCUGCUGCAUGAUUAACAUGUGAGAUUAGUUUAGCUAAUAUGGUUAAUUAGUUACGUGAGUAUAUAAAGUAUAGUCAGUACAUUUCCUCGAUGUUCUGGUUUUACAGAAAUAAAAAAAAAAUUCUCAGAUUCAUAUUAUUUUCUCUCAAUAUUUCUUAGCUUCCAAACAAGCUGUUUUCUCACUUGGUAUCAGAGCCAAAAUAAUGGCGUCUGUUAAUCUAGUUUCUUCAAAUCAGAUCCAAAAUACUCCCGCUGCUUCAACUAAUAUUUCAUUCACCUUCAAUACACCAGUAAAGCUUGAUCAAGCUAACUAUCUCAUAUGGCGAUCUCAAGUGCUUGCUUCAAUUCGUGGCAACAGACUUGAAAAGCUUAUUGAUGACUCAAUUACUCCUCCUCUGUCUCACGUAGCUCAAAGAGUUGGAGAUGAUGUCAGAUCUGUGGAGAAUCCAGACUUUAUAUCAUGGAGAUCUCAGGAUCAAGUGCUACUUGGAUGGUUACUCUCUUCAAUGAGUGAAGGAAUCAUCAGUCUGGUCUUCAAUCUGGAGACAUCACGUGAGGUUUGGAAAGCUGUUGAGGUACAAUUUGGUUCUCAAUCCAAAUCAAGACUGUUACAUCUGAGAUAUAUGAUGAAUUCUACUAGAAAGAAUGAUAUGAAAAUCACAGAUUACUUCAUUAAAAUGAAAAACAUAUCUGAUAAUAUGGCUGCAGCAGGUAGUGCCUUGAGUAAUGAUGACUUAAUUUUGCAUGUGUUAUCUGGUUUAGGACCAGAUUAUAAUUCAGUAGCUACCUAUAUAACUGGUCAAGUAGGAACUGGGAAAAUGGAUCUAAAUGAAGCUUAUGCAAUGCUUUUAACUCAAGAAGCUAGGAUUGAACAGCAGUCUCAUAUGCUAGCUAGUACAGAUAUGAAAAAUAACUUUGAAGCAAAUUUUGCUCAAAACAGAGGACCUAAGAAAGGAAACAUGUUCAAUGGAAAAGGUUUUGGUGGUUAUGGCUACAAUUCUGGUUCUGGAAAUAACUAUAACUCAGGUUUUAGCAACAAUGGUCAUUAUAAAGGAAACUUUGGUACUGAGUUUGCUGGUACUGGUUUUAACAAUCAGUUCAAAGGAUAUCAGUCUAGUAAUCAGAGAGGAGGAGGAGGAGGUAAUUGGAAUAACAACAAUGGACCAAGUAACUUUAACAGUGGCAAACCAUCCUUUAAUCCUAAGCCACAAUGGAAUGCAUCAAAGCCUACCUGUCAAAUUUGCCUCAGGCCUGGACACAUUGCAAAUAUUUGCUGGAAACUUGAAGAGUUUAUCACUUCAGGUGUUUACAGACCACCACCAAAUAAAGGACCAAAGGCAGCUUAUCUGGCUAACAUGGAUGCUCUAGUUGACAACAAUUGGUAUCUGGAUAGCGGAGCCACACAUCACCUCACAAAUGAUAUGAAUAAUGUGAAUGGUGCUGAACCUUUUGCAGGUAAUUCUAAACUUAUUGUUGGAAAUGGUGUUGGUUUGUGCAUAACACACAUAGGUUCUGCUGUUCUAAGAAUGCUUGAUGCCUUGAAUUAUUCUGAUCUUAAGCUAAACAACAUUCUACUUGUUCCAAAAAUAACCAAAAACCUGAUAAGUAUUUCCCAAUUAACCAAAGAUAAUACUGUUGUGGUUGAAUUUACUGAUAGUUUCUGUUUUGUGAAGGACAAGGUGAAGAAUUCAGUUAUGCUGCAGGGCAAAGCUGAAAAAGGUUUAUAUAGAUUGCCGUGUGUUUCCUCAACCAAGUCCUCUACUUCACAGUCAAACCAAGGUCUUCUUACUCAUGUCGAGUCAGCUGUUUCAAAUCAGCCAAUUUCAAUGUUUUCAACUGUUGUUUCAAAAUUUCCAAAUAAAACUGCUUGAUGUUUGCAUACAAAAGCACUAUGUUGUCAAACUCCAAGUUGUAUGUUGAAUACUACGGUUUUGCAUCAGAGACUAGGUCAUCCUAAUACUAAGGUGCUUAGUCAUGUAAUCAAUUCUUGUUCUUCUUUAAAGAAUAUCAGUGGUAAUAAAACAAUUGAUUCUUGUGAUGCUUGUAAGAUGGGAAAAAUGCAUAAACUUCAUUUUCCUAUUACUGAAACCAAAACCAAAAAUCCUUUGGAACUUCUACAUACUGAUCUAUGGGGACCCUCUCCUACACCUUCUAUCCAAGGGUACAAAUACUAUGUUAGUUUUGUGGAUGACUUCACAAGGUUCACCUGGAUUUUCCCUUUGAAAACCAAAGCUGAUACAUUUCAAGUGUUUAAAAUCUUUAAAGCUCAGGUGGAAAAACAAUUGGAUAAGCCUAUUAAAUGUCUUCAGUCAGAUUGGGGUGGGGAAUACAGAUCCUUUGUUCAUUUUCUUCAUGAAACAGGAAUCCAAUUUAGACAUUCAUGCCCUUAUACACACAAUCAAAAUGGCCUUGUAGAAAGAAAGCAUAGGCACAUCACUGAGUUGGGUUUAACUUUACUUGCACAAGCUAAAUUACCCAUCAAAUUCUGGUGGGAUUCUUUUCAUACAGCCACUCACAUUAUUAACAGAUUACCAACUCCUGUCCUUUCCAUGAAAACUCCCUAUGAAUGUCUCUUUCAUUUGCUACCUGAUUAUCCUUUUCUCAAAACUUUUGGUUGUGCUUGUUUCCCAUUCUUAAGAGAUUACAAUCAUCACAAGUUUGAUUUCCAUACAUCCAAGUGUGUCUUCCUAGGAUACAGUCUAUUACACAAAGGUUACAAAUGUCUUCAUCCAUCAGGGAAAAUUUAUAUAGCCAGCCAUGUUCUUUUUUAUGAAACCUCUUUUCCAUACUCUACUGAUUCACAAUUUUUGAAGUCUUUGCCACCUAAGGUUUCUGACUUUCAAUACAGUUCUCUACAAUUUUACAAUAUUUCAGUUCCUCAUAGCAAUCUAAGACCUUUUGAAGCUGCUGCAGCAGACACUGAUUCUCAUACUUCUAGUUCUAAUCACAAUAUCAUGUUAUCUUCCUCUUCUACUCAUCCUGUUUCUUCUACUGAUACCAUAUCCUUACCUAUUAUUCACACCACAUCUCCUAUCACAACUCCAACCACUACAUCUUCACCCAUCAUCCAUCACCAUUCUCCAGUAUCUCCUAUAACACAUCAGCUUCCUUUACACACAUCACCUUCCAGACCAUCUUUAUCCUCUGCUCAUCCUAUGAUUACCAGAGCCAAAGCUGGUGUCUUUAAACCUAAGGCAUUCUUAACAGCACAUAAUAGCUUAGAGCCUUCUAGUGUUGAUGAAGCUCUAGCUGAUCCUAAGUGGCAAGCUGCAAUGCAACUGGAAUAUGAUGCACUUAUUCAAAACAAAACCUGGAGUCUAGUUCCAAUGGAUCCAGUUCAUAAACUGGUGGGUUGUAAGUGGGUUUUCAGAACAAAGUAUAAUCCAGAUGGCUCAGUCUCUAAGUAUAAGGCUCGGUUGGUUGCCAAGGGUUUCCAUCAGACAGCUGGGGUUGACUAUUCAGAAACCUACAGUCCUGUAGUUAAGUCUUCCACUGUCAGAGUUAUACUGAGCUUAGCAGUCAUGCAAGGCUGGAAUGUUAGACAAAUAGACAUCAACAAUGCCUUUCUUAAUUGGGAUCUCACUGAAGAUGUGUACAUGCAACAGCCAAAAGGCUUUGUUUCAGAAGGAGGCUACAUCUGCAAGCUAAACAAAGCUCUUUAUGGUUUAAAACAGGCACCAAGGGCCUGGUAUGAUAAACUUAAGGGUUGUCUUACAGAUUGGAAUUUUACAAAUUCUAAGGCUGAUACCUCACUGUUUAUUAGGCAUGACAUUAAAGGCAUAAUCCUUGUUUUAAUCUAUGUAUAUGAUAUUUUAGUCACAGGACCAAAUUCAGUCUUGCUGGAGGCUUUCAUCACAAACUUGAGUAAAGUAUUUGCCUUAAAAGACUUAGGUCUGGUUUCAUACUUCCUUGGUAUAGAAGUCAGCUACACAGAUCAUGGAAUGCAUCUCUCCCAAACUAAGUAUAUUAAGGAUUUGCUAGCUAAAGCAUCAAUGCAGAACUGCAAAGAGACAGAAACUCCUUUCAGCACAGGCUACAAAUUAGAAAGAACAGCUAAAGGCCUAUUGGGUGCAGAGUUUGAAAAUCCAACUCUCUACAGAAGUAUAGUUGGAGGACUUCAAUACUUGAUCUUAACCAGACCAGACAUUGCCUAUUCAGUACAUAAACUCAGCCAGUAUCUAAGUGCCCCAACUCUCCAACAUUGGUUAGCUUGUAAAAAGGUGUUGAGAUAUUUACAAGCAACUAUUACACAUGGUCUUUAUAUUCAGCAAGAGGGGACUUUCGAAACAAUUGGAUUGACAGGGUAUUCAGAUGCUGAUUGGGCGUGUGAUAUAGAUGACAGAAAAUCCAUUGGAGCUUACUGUAUUUUCCUUGGUAAUAAUCUAGUUUCAUGGUCUUCGAAAAAGCAAGCUAUUGUAGCAAAGUCCAGCACUGAAAGUGAAUACCGAGCAUUGUCAACAGCAAGUUCAGAGCUUACUUGGCUACAAUCCUUAUUUUUUGAGCUGAAGAUUAUCAAGCUGCCAACUCCUGUUCUCUGGUGUGAUAAUCAGAGUGCAGGUGAUCUAGCUAAAAAUCCAGUAUUUCACUCUAAGUCCAAACAUAUAGAGCUGGAUGUGCAUUACAUUAGAGAUAAGGUUCUGAAAAAAGAGUUAGAAGUGAGGUACAUUCCCACUGAAGAGCAAGUGGUAGAUGUUCUUACUAAGCCUCUGUCAUUUCCAAAGUUUAGCUAUUUUCGUUCCAAGCUCAAUGUAAUCAACAGACCAUUGAGCUUGAGAGGGGAUGUCAAGGAAGCUCAUGUGAGCCAAAUAGCCAGCAAAGCAAAGGAUUACAACAACAGCAGCUCACAGCUACAAGUUGAUGAUUUGGCAUGCCAGCUAGCACCUGGUGGUUAUAUAAUUUCUUGUACUCGUGACUGUUAGUUACAGUUAGUUAAUAAGCUGCUGCAUGAUUAACAUGUGAGAUUAGUUUAGCUAAUAUGGUUAAUUAGUUACGUGAGUAUAUAAAGCAUAGUUGGUACAUUUCCUUGAUGUUCUGGUUUUACAGAAAUAAAAAAAAAUUCUCAGAUUCAUAUUAUUUUCUCUCAAUAUUUCUUAGCUUCCAAACAAGCUGUUUUCUCACUCUACUGUACGGAGAAAUGGCAUUUUUGUCUCAAGUUAGUGACAUACACCCACACGUGACAGUAAUCAAAAUCUAUUAACCUGGCAAAUUUAGGAAAAUGGGGUAUUAUCAUUUGACCACCUAACAUUUCAUGACAUGUCCCUUCUGUGUGUGCUGAAUCUCCUUUUUGAAAUUGAACUUUAAUUGCAUGCUUGGAUUGUUGACAUUAUUAGAAUUAUUUCAUUAUUCCCUGUUUCAAGCUGGACCUAUUUGCUCUUUAAUCUGUAUAAUACGUGGUGGUGGUAUUUUUCAUGCUUACUGCAUAUUGUUUUAAAUCCUCCUGGUCAGUUUAUGUCCCACGUUUGGUGGAACCAAUCCUGGGUUAUGGGCAGAACUUAUUCAUUCAUUGAAGGAAGAACUUAGUCUUAUCUUCGGUUACACAUUCGUGACACAUCCUUCAGCGUUUGCAUCAAUAUCCGUAAGUUAUUUGCUGCUCAUUAUAAUCAUUGUUACAUUUUUUUUUUCCUAAUGCAAUCAUUAUUAAAUUUUAUUUUCAAAGAUUUAGCAUAUUGAAAGGCAUGUGGCGUGUGAGUUUGUCAUUAUUACCCUCCUAGGUAUUUUCAUGUAGGUUUUUUUUUUUGCGUAGUUCAGUGAUCGACUACUUUUAAUUAAUGCUUCCCUUUAUCCCAGAUUGCUUGUUAAAAUGUAAAUCAACAUUCAUUUUAUUAUGCCACUAUGAAUCGUAGUUAUGCUGGAUAGACCAGAACUCUCUUUGGUUCACAAUACUCAAUUUAGAAUCAGCUCCACAGAUUCCUUUCAAUGCUUUUGACUUCUGCAUAUUGGCUAAAGACUUUUGAAGCUAAUAACUGAGGACUUUUAUGAUGAACUUGGAAGAAAUGAUUGUUCUACAAUAUGGUUUAGCCGUAGGCCGUAGGGAGACAAAACGUUUCUUCUCUUCCUUGUGUGCUCUGUGGGCAGUGGCGAAGCUAAGGGUUGGCUAACCCGGGCUGCAGCCAGGGUUAGCUUUUUGAAAAAAAUAAUAAUUAAUUAUAAUUUAUGAAUUUGUCUUUAUUAAUAUUUAAAAAAAAAAAUUUAAUAGCCCACCCCAAAGUAUGGUACUAGCUUCGCCAGUGUCUGUGGGCACACUAUCGUUGGGGGUUUUAUCUUCCUGUAUUUCAAAUUGCUUGUUGUUUGCUGAUUUUUUCCUUCUUAGAUUCUUAUUGCUCUCCGCUCACACUCCUUUUUUCUAUUCCCCUAAUGCAGUUUGGCAGAUCUAAGUGGAAUGGGAAUGUCGGGAGCUCAAGGGUAGUAAUGAGGGUUGAUGCCCCUCUUUCGAGCUUUGGACGACCUUCUUUCCCUGUUCAGAUAAAUAGUGGUAUUGAGUUUUGAUUGUUUAUAUCUUCGUACUUGGCAUUUGGAAUGUAUAUAGUCACAGGCUCAUUAACAAAAGCUACUGUAUGUGAAUAUUUAACUAUAAUAUUAAUAAUGUUCCCCAAAAAAAAAAAUGUUUAUAUCGAUUAGCAUGGUCUGUGUAUUACUUGUUCCCAACUUGUAUUCUGAGUUUUCAGUUGGUUGUUUUCGGCGUUCCUCUUUUUGCUAGAAAAUUUUGAGCGUGUCAUGUUUGGACCUUUUAUAGCUUCCUUUGUACGGUCUUUUGUCAUUAUUAUUUCACACCUGCAGAUUUAAGCAGAUCAAACAAUUUGUUGAGGUGUGAAUGGAGC
rnacentral:lncRNA from 1 species